rnacentral:lncRNA from 1 species
CUGUUAUCUGGAUGGGAAAGAAACAAGAGUCUGUUGAGGAUGUUCCUUGUGGUAACACUGUUGCUAUGGUUGGUCUGGAUCAGUUCAUCACGAAGAAUGCUACACUCACCAAUGAGAAGGAGGUUGAUGCAUGCCCAAUCAGAGCAAUGAAGUUCUCUGUCUCCCCUGUUGUGCGCGUUGCUGUUCAGUGCAAGGUUGCCUCUGACCUACCCAAGCUCGUUGAAGGUUUGAAGCGUCUGGCAAAGUCUGAUCCUAUGGUCCUCUGUACAAUUGAAGAAUCUGGUGAGCAUAUUAUUGCUGGAGCUGGUGAGCUUCACCUUGAGAUUUGCCUGAAGGAUCUGCAGGAAGACUUCAUGGGUGGUGCUGAAAUUAUUGUUUCUCCUCCUGUUGUCUCUUUCCGUGAAACUGUUCUUGAGAAAUCCUGCCGAACAGUCAUGAGCAAGUCCCCCAACAAGCACAACCGUCUUUACAUGGAAGCCCGUCCCUUGGAAGAGGGUCUCCCUGAGGCUAUUGAUGAGGGCCGCAUUGGUCCACGUGAUGAUCCCAAGGUUCGCUCCAAGAUCCUCUCUGAGGAGUUUGGUUGGGACAAGGAUCUUGCCAAGAAGAUUUGGUGCUUUGGACCUGAGACCACUGGCCCGAACAUGGUUGUUGAUAUGUGUAAGGGAGUGCAGUACCUCAAUGAAAUCAAGGAUUCUGUUGUGGCUGGCUUCCAGUGGGCCUCAAAGGAGGGUGCACUGGCUGAGGAGAACAUGCGUGGCAUCUGCUUUGAGGUCUGUGAUGUUGUUCUUCAUGCUGAUGCAAUUCACAGGGGUGGUGGCCAGGUCAUUCCAACUGCCAGGAGGGUUAUUUAUGCUUCUCAGCUCACUGCCAAGCCAAGGCUGCUCGAGCCAGUUUACCUUGUGGAGAUCCAGGCCCCAGAAAAUGCACUUGGUGGUAUCUAUGGUGUUCUGAACCAGAAGAGAGGGCACGUGUUUGAGGAGAUGCAGAGGCCUGGUACCCCGCUCUACAACAUCAAGGCUUACCUCCCUGUCAUCGAGUCCUUUGGGUUCUCCAGCCAACUGAGGGCUGCAACCUCUGGCCAGGCGUUCCCUCAGUGUGUGUUUGACCACUGGGACAUGAUGGGCUCUGAUCCUCUGGAGGCCGGCUCCCAGGCUGCUCAGCUGGUGUUGGAUAUCCGCAAGAGGAAGGGUCUCAAGGAGCAGAUGACCCCUCUUUCUGAGUUUGAGGACAAGCUCUAAAUUUUGGUGGUUUGUGCUGCUGUUACCCAUGCUGGUUUCAUGGCCAAUUCGUCUACUGUAACUGGAACUACUUUCAUGUUUCAUUUCCUUUAGUUGUCAGAUGCAUCUGUUUUUGAACAUCAUUGGCCAUAUGGCAUUGUGCUGCUAAGACUGUAUUUUGUUAUCCGGUUGUGAUGUAACAGAUGAAAUAGAGUUCAUAUCUGUGGUUUAAGUGGUAGUAUUUGCGGUAUAAUGCUUGUUUCUACUGCCUUCUGAAAGCCUUUCUUUUGCCUAACGGUAGAGCGGAUUAACUAAGGGUGUUGUAUCAUUUGAUUCAUUUGAUCCUUCAUCAAGGAUGAAGCCAUCUCCUCAUGGGAACACAUUAUUCUACUAUUAGAAGCGAAGAUGUAACAAAUUAGUUGAAAGAGGAGCGUUGAAAGAGGAGCGAACCAUACUUUACUAUAUGGUAAGUAGCAAAUUAGUUACAAGUAGCAAAUUAGUUGAACUUUAGGAUCAUGCACGUUGAACCUUGUUAUCUAGGAUCAUCCAUGGAUCAUGCACGUUGAACCUUGCUAACUAGGAUCAUGCACGUUGACCCUUGUUAUCUAGGAUCAUCCAUGGAUCAUACACGUUGAACUUUGCUAUCUAGGAUUAUCCAUGUAUGCAUCAUGUAGUGCAUCUGUGCAUGCAAUAUUCUGUUAUCUAGGAUCAUCCAUGGAUCAUACACGUUGAACUUUGCUAUCUAGGAUUAUCCAUGUAUACAUCAUGUAGUGCAUCUGUGCAUGCAAUAUUCUGCCCUUAGCUUGGUUUUACUGCCGAUAGCUAUAUAGUGCAUUUAAAUGCUUUUCUUUUGCCCACAGCCCCAGAGGUAGAGAGGACUAACUGUUUCUGUUGCUUUUUUUUUUUACGGUCUACGGGAGAGAGUGUGUGUGUGUGUUGGGGGUGGGAGCGCCCCCACCUGAUUUUCAUUUCAUUGAGGGUCUGUUUCAGGCCAAACGCUGUGUAGAUCAAAAGGAGAUAGAGAGAGGCAGUGUACAUCUGGUUUUGUGAUUGUUUUACAUCGAAGCAAAGACAGUGCACCAGGAGUCGGUUAUCACGCGAUCCUCUAUGCGAAACCGCUCGCGCCAAAGUCGGGCUUCGUCUCGGCAUGCCGACCAGAAGCGUUGUUGAGAUGGAGCGCAGCGCUGGAACACUGGGUCAUUCCGGUGCUUCCAUAACACCCACGGCAGAAGGAGUUUUUUCUUGCUUUGCCUUUAGCUUGGCUUUAAUCCUGUUAGCUAUGCCUAUGUAGAGCAUUUGGUCCUUCGAAUUUUAAAUCGAUGUUGAUUUUGAUUGCAUGCCGUCAUUUUGGGUUGGUUCCAACUAUGUUUUUAAUAUCAGUCGUUCUGAAGGUUACUCUGUUGACACUUGAUUGCAUAACCGUUUGCUAGUUUUGCGUGCAUCCGCGUGCUGGUUCGUCUCAUCAAGAACUAGCCGUUGCUCAAAACUCUGGCUUUCAGGCAUGGCCGCAACAGCCUGGAGGAUGUGUUGCUGUUCUGUAGCUGUAGUGUGCGUCUGUGCUAGUGGAUGCAGGGAGCCAGCGACCUAAAAGGAAUCGUGUAUUAGUGGAUGCAGGACAUCGGCCGUGGCGGCCUGGGGGAGACGACCACGCUCGACAUGAACGGCAGUAAGUUCAAUGGCACGAUCCCGGCGUCGCUUACCGGCCUAUGGAGCCUCCAGUAUCUAGAUGUGAGCGGCAACCGCUUCACCGGCACCAUCCCAGCGUUGCUAUCUGGACUCCGGAACCUCCAGCUUCUCGGCCUGAAUGACAACCUCUUCACCGGCACCAUCCCGGCGGACCUCGGCGAGCUGGCGAGCCUUCACAUGCUGUAUCUGGCAAACAACCAGUUCGAUGCAGGCCAGCUGCCGUCGUCGUUCAAGAACCUGACCAACCUGGUCAGCCUCUGGGCGUCGCAGUGCAACCUCGUCGGAGAGUUCCCGAACUUUCUUUGGAGCCUGAAGGAGCUGCAACUAUUGAAUCUGUACACGAACAACCUCACCGGCAACUUGGUGGUUGAUGGCCUUGUUGCGAGGAACUUGACAGUAAUCGACGUCUCGGAGAACAAGAUCACUGGAGUUAUCCCGAGUGUUUGGGAGCUUGGAGAACCUCAGAGACUUGAACUUCUUCAUGAACAACUUCUCCAGCGAGAUACCAGCCAGCAUCGGCCGGUUGCCCUCACUGACGAGGUUGAGGCUCCACACCAACAUGCUUAACGGCACGCUCCCACCGGAGCUCGGAAAGCAAUCGCCGGGCUUGAAUUAUGUUGAGGUUGAUUACAAUGAGCUCACCGCCGAGAUCCCGGAAGGGCUGUGCACUGGAGACAACCUCCAGCACCUCACCGCCAAGAGCAACCAAUUGAACGGCUCCAUCCCAGCAGGCCUUGCCAACUGCGCCACUCUUGGAACCCUGUCGCUGGACAACAACCAACUCUCUGGCGACGUACCAGAGGCUCUGUGGACGGCGACGAAGCUUUACCAGAGGCUCUUCCGGCCACGGUGCAUCUCAACCUUUCGACGAUACUCAUAGGGAACAACCAAUUUGGUGGCAACAUUCCGGCUGCACUAGCUGCGCUCCAGGUGUUCACCGCCGAGAACAACCGGUUUUCUGGUGCGAUACCGGCGAGUCUUGGCGACGGCAUGCCGCUGCUGCAAAGACUGAACUUAUCCGGUAACCAACUGUCCGACGGGAUCCCCAGAAGCGUUGCUAAGCUAAGCCAGCUGACGGAAAUGGACCUGAGCAGGAAUCAGCUCACCGGAGGCAUACCGGUAGAGCUCGGCGCCAUGCCGGUGUUAAGUGUCCUUAACCUGUCGUCGAACAAGCUCUCCGGCAACGUGCCGCAGGCGCUUGCGAAGCCGACACUCACCGCCCUAACCUGUCCUCGAACCAUCAGACCGGCCAGGUCCCGGCCGGGUUCGCCACCGCGGUCUACGACACCAGCUUCCUCAACAACCCCGGCCUCUGCACCGCCGCUUGGGGACCUGGCUACCUCACGGGCGUACGCUCCUGCGCCGGUGGAUCACAAGACGGCGGUUCCUCCGGAGGCGUGUCGCACGCCCUGCGCAGGGGAACCUCGCCGUGGCGUUCGCCUUCUUCGUCGUCCGCGACAUCAAGAAACGGCGGCGCGUCGCGGAGCAAGACAACUGGAAGAUCACGCCUUUCGUCAAAGAUCUGGGAUUCGGUGAGGCACCCAUACUCCGGGGGCUGACGGAGGAGAACCUCGUCGGGCGCGGGGGAUCGGGGCGCGUGUACCGCGUCGCCUACACCAACCGGCUUAACGGCCGAGCCGGCGCGGUGGCCGUAAAGCAAAUACGGACCGCCGGGAAGCUCGACCAGAAGCUGGAACGCGAAUUCGCGUCAGAGGCUGGCAUCAUCGGCAACCUCCGGCACAACAACAUCGUCAAGCUCUUGUGUUGCCGCUCCAGCGCCGAGUCCAAGCUCCUCGUGUACGACUAUGGACAACGGCAUCCUGGACAGGUGGCUCCACGGCGACGCCCUCGUCGCCGGCGGGCGCCCCAUGGCGAGGGCGCGGUCCGCGCGGCGCGAGCCGCUGGACUGGCCGGCGAGGCUCAGGGUGGCCGUCGACGCCGCGCAGGGGCUGUGCUACAUGCACCACGAGUACGAGCCGCCCAUCGUCCACCGCGACGUCAAGACGAGCAACAUCCUGCUGGACUCGGAGUUCCGGGCCAAGAUCGCCGACUUCGGGCUGGCCACAGGAUGCUGCUGCAGGCCGGGGCGCCGGAAACGAUGUCCGCCGUCGCUGGCUCGUUCGGCUACAUGGCUCCUGGUAAGGAUUCGAACUUGCUGCUUUCAGUGAAUUUCUGUCCCAUUUCUACAAAUGCCACGUGUUCUCGUGUUGCCGGACCUUAGAUUGGGCCUUUUGAUGCUUAUCUGCAGAGUGUGCUUACACCAAGAAGGUGAACGAGAAGGUAGACAGCUUCGGUGUCAUUCUCCUGGAGCUCACCACCGGAAAGGAGGCCAACAACGGCGGCGAGCACGGCUGCCUGGCGGACUGGGCACGGCGCCACUACCAAUCAGGAGGGAGCAUCGCCGACGCCACAGACAAGAGCAUCAGAUACGACGGGUACUCUGACGAGAUCCAGGUUGUCUUCAGGCUCGGCGUGCUCUGCACCGCCGAUAUGCCGUCGUCGCGGCCAACCAUGAACGACGUGCUGCAGAUCUUGGUCAAGUGCAGCGAGCAGACGUACCACAAGGGCAAGACGGAGCGUGGCCCAGAGUAUGAGGUGGCUCUUCUACCCAAACGCGGCAGUCGCCGGAAACAGCUUUCAAACGGCUCGGGGAUUUACAUCGAAGAGAAGAUGACAGCAUUGUCUGAAGAAAGGAACUGACCACUGCAUAUGCCAGUAAGCAGCUUGUGACAUCGUCAGUGAACUGCUUGCUAUAGUGAUACUUCACAUUUUAGCAGAGUACAGCGGAGAAUUAUGCCUCUAAUCUUUUUUUUUCUGAGGAGCUAAGUAUCUUUAUAUUAAAAAGAGAAUAUAAAUAGAAAAAAUCAGUCCAUUGGAAGCAACCACUCUAGCUCACCUAGGAGAAUAGAGAGAUUGCAUAAACAAGCGAAGAAAAAACCGUCACCAGACCUUGACCCUGCACGGCUGGACUAGGGACAUGCAUAGUAUAGAGCAGGGCUUGUGGUUAGCCAAACCGUUCUGUGUAUUGAUACUGCAAAUCUGUAUUAAAUCACACACACAUUAUACGUUCCGACAGAAGAACUAGCAAACAUUACGAUUAUACUCCCUCCGUUCUUAAAUAUAUAACGCUAUUGACUUUUUCAUUUGUUUGACUAUUCAUCUUUUCUACAAAUAUUUUUGCAAAUAGAUAAAUCUACGAGUUAAAUCUAAAGUACAUUUCACAAUAGUCAUAAUGAUACACAUUUUACUUUAGUUAACUAACUCAUUCAAUAGAUAUUGAUGGUCAAAGUUGGAGUAAAAAGCCAACAGCAUCAUAUAUUUAAGAAUGGAGGGAGUAAUUUAUUUCUGAAAUAAAGGCAGGAGAUGGAGCUCUGCUUAUCCAUUCAGAAAUUAGUACGAUUGAAUGAUUUUGUCUCCUUCCAGUUUUUAUUGUAAAACACAGAAUAUUACACGGAUAGGCACUGAUUGUUAUCCGGAAGAAAAUGAAUUUUUAUAUUUCAAAAGAAAAGGCCCAAUUUGCACCCUCUAGCUAGCACGAUAAUCCAAUUUUCAGCUAAACUGACCAUGGGCCGGCCCAAAGGCACAGGAAUUUGGCCCGGUCUAGGCAUGGCGGCCGUCGUGCUCGUGCUAACCCGACCCACACCAUGGGCCGUGCUUGGGCCGUUGCCUCAGCCCACGUACUGGUCCGGCACGGCCUGCCCAUUUGGCCCGUCGGGAUUAAGUGGGCGGCCCAUCCUAUUAAGGCCCACUCGACCGCAUAUAAAACCCCCCACCCCCAAACGGCCAAACCCUACCUUCCUCUUCGUGUCCCGCGCCCUUCGCCGCCGUCACCUCCCCCGCGCCCUUCGCCGCCUCUCGCGCCCGCCGGCCGCUCACGCCCUCCGCCGCUUCCCCCCGCCGCCUCCCUCACGCCCUCCGCCGCAUCCUCCCACCGCCUCCCUCGUGCCCUCCGCCACCUCCCGCGCCCGCCGGCCUCUCGCUCCCCUGCCACCUCCCCCGCGGCCCUCUGCCGCCUCCUACACCCGCCGGUCCCUUGCCGCAAUUGGGGAAGAUGGUGGCCUGCACGGCGGCGCGCGCAAACGUCCUGUCGUCCCUCGGCGGUGGGAGCUGCGGCACGAGUGGGCGCCUGGGCAGAUCCGGGAAAGGUCUAUGGGCGCCCUGACGACGAGGUGGUCGAAGUCAUCGGGGCUAUCGAACUCGACGACGACAGGCGCUACGGGCGUAUGAGCAGAGGAAGGGUGAAUUCUGUGCCGCAGGCUGGCACGAGCACGGUGAGGCCGUUAAGGCCUGCCAGGCCAGCGUGCCAGCACGGCCCACCUAAGAAGGCUGCGGGUCAUGCCUGGACCGCUCCUUCGGCACAUGGGCCGGCACGGCCUGGCACUAUUACCGUGCAAGCCUAACCGUGCCGGGCCUAACCGUGCCAGGCCAAAUCGUGCUCGUGCCAGGCCGGGUUGGGCUACCUGUUUGGCCAUCUAUACAUCCAACGGUUGAAACCAGAUAAAUUUUAUCCUUUAGCUGGUUUCAAAGAUGUUUUUUUGUUUUAUUAGACAUUUAAAAAAAAUCUGAUUUAAUCUUGUUGGGGGGAAAUAUUAACGAUCCCCUAAAUACCACUUAAAGGAGCAGACGCGAAGGCCCGGGCCCACCUAAGCAUAAUCAAAACUCCGCCUCGCCCGACCGCGGCCUCAGGGUCAGGAACGCCCGACCCCCCUCCACGAGGUUUCCGCCUCGUCCGACUGCGGCCCCAGGGUCGAAGGCGCCCGAUCCCUCGCCACAAGGUUCCGCCUCGUCCGACCCCAAGCGCAGGGGUCGGGCUCGCUGGGGCCCCCAGGGCAGGCAUCCCCCUCGGAUGUGGACCAGGUGGGCAAGAUAAACAAAUCUUGCGGGUCCCCCCCCCCAUCGGCCUCGUCAUAAAUGCGCUGCGGGCCUGGCAGAGGGAGGAAUGACCACGCUCCUCACACAACCCGCCGCAAGUACCCAUGCACGACCAUACUGUACAAGCUACAGCGCUGGCGGCUCACUCCCAUUCGCCGCAGGGUACUCAUGGCCUGCGCCGACCGGAGCGGAGGAGAGACUCGCCUGUCCUCGAGCCCCGCGCACCCUCGGGUCCCGUGCGCCUGGCAUCUAGGAUGUGACGCCCUCUCUCCAGGAGCCAUCAUCAGAAUGGCAGCAUCCACCGUCCUCCCCAACGGACACCGGGAUAACGACGAAACGCCCUCAUCAUAACCCGACGCCUACGGAUGCCGAAGGAGCUAUCUGUAGGGUGCAACGACAGUUGGCGCACGGCCGCCUCCCCCUCCGGCAUGCACGCCGGCGCUCGCCAGGAGCCGGCGGAGGCGUCGGGCGUCUAGGAACUUGUUCCUCCCAUCCUGCCGUAUUUUUUACCGUACUACGUUCACAUUUUACGGUCCUCUUCGCCCGAUCCCAACUGUAACUCUGGCCACUCCCCUUGCGAUAUAAAAGGAGGAACACAGGGCCGGAGGGGGGGAUCGGCUUCUUCCCCCUCAAGCCACAGCAUGCUAGUACGCUCCCUGAGAACAUAGGCUCAAAGAGACUUGGGACCAGUCCCUCUCUCGUCGGUCUGUAACCCCUACUACAGAACCCCGCGUGGGCAAUACGAGCAUCCACGAUACUGGACGUAGGGCUCCCUUUGCUCGAACCAGUCUAAUCCGUGUCUCCCACGCCACCAUCUGAGGCCUUACGCGCAUAAAAGAAAUUUACUAGUCUAAGUCUUGAUCCGCCAAUCUUGACAACGACAGUUGGCGCGCUAGGUAGGGGACCUUUGCGCAUACCCUCCCAGCCUCAGAUGGCCAAUUACGAUAGUAGCUUUGCUCCGGGCUCCCUGAUCCGAUUCGGGAGCCUGGACUUCCUCGCCACCGGGGAAGGGAUCAAGCUGAUCCCUGUCCUCAUCCUGCCCGCUCGCCCGCCUGCCCCCGGCCCCGCCGCCGGGACAGCGGUGAGCGGCCGCUCGCAUACCGGAAGGACCUCGCCAGGGGGACGGCCCUUCGGGCUACGCAAUGCCACGGGGGCCUACGGACGCCUCCUAGCGCGGUCCAUGACCGCGUCGCCCGCGAGCAACGAGCUCGUAGGUGCGACAAGGACGAUCUCCGACACCGGCUCCAGCAGCGGGAGCCCCCACCCCUCGCGUGAGUGCCUCGUGGUCGACGAGCACUCUGAGGGAUCCAACAGCAACGAUGCCGAGGAGAGACAAAGGGCUGCCCCUCGCGCGCCGCGGCUAUGACCGGAGCCUUACCAAGGGCACCAGAGUGCUCUCAGCAACGAGAGGCGCGCGCGGGCGCCCGCCAAGAAGUCGAGCACCCCCACCACGAGGGAGGAGCGCGACAACGGGCGCGAGACGUCCAGCGACGCAUCUGCGCGGAUGAAGAGCGUCCGCAGCUUUUCGCCCGCGCCAGCCAAAACGUCGCAGCCGCGGCGGUGUUGCUCCGACAGCUCCCCGAACCAGCGAUGCCCGAGGAGCGACGGGCACGCCAAGAGAUGCGCGACCUGCUCGAAUGCGCCGCCGUCCAGCAGGCGGAAAGCUCCGCGUCCCGGCGACGCGGGCAGAAUGCCAGCAGGGCGACGCCCGACGCGCCCCCGGAAAGGCGGGGGGAAUCAGUCCAUCUACCCCCUCCUGGGGCGAAUCAGGCCGCGUCCGCCCGACGGACUCCACCACCCGCGGGAGGCGAGGCUCGAUCCGUCCACCAGCGCGUCGGCCUCGUCCGCGACGCCCGCGACACCCUAAACGCGCGGAGACGCUCCCGCGCGGACAGGGAGGACGGGGUAGAUCGAGGCUACCACGUCCACCGUGGCGGGCGCUACGACAGCGGGGAAGACCGCAGCCUGAGCCCCGGUCCGGCUGGGCCCCGGGCCUUCUGUGCGCGCAUCCUGAACGCGCCUUUUCCGCCGCGCUUCAGGCAACCCAUGAGUAUAGCCAAAUACUCAGGGGAGACGAAUCCUGGAGUGUGGCUCAGCGAUUACCGGCUUGCAUGUCAAGCCGGCGGGGCGGAUGAUGACCUGUUUAUCAUCCGCAACCUACCCCUCUUCCUAGCCGACUCAACGCGAGCUUGGCUAGAACAUAUCCCUUCGGGACGAGUUCGCAACUGGAAUGACCUGAAGGAGGUUUUCAUAGGGAACUUCCAGGGCACGUACACACGCCCCGACAAUUCCUGGGACCUCCGGAGCUGUCGUCAGGGGGCGGACGAGUCCCUCCGAGAUUAUAGCCGGCGCUUCUCCAGGAAGCGCACCGAGCUCUCCAACGUCGCGGACGCCGAUGUCAUAGGAGCUUUCCUAGCAGGAACCUCCUGCCGGCCCCUCGUCCACGAGCUGGGGUGCCGAGGCCCGCGAACCACGGAGGAGCUCCUCAAUAUCGCCACUAGUUACGCCUCGGGCGAAGAGGCCGUUGGAGCAAUCUUCGACCGCUCCAAAGGCAAGGCGAAACGGGAGGAGGUUGCUGGCGAAGGCACCUCCAACCGCCAGCAGAAGAAGAAGGGCAAGUUACGGCGCGAGGCCCCCCUCGUGGCCGCAGCUGAGCGCAAGCGAGGGCCGCCGCCCCCCGAGGGCGCUCCCGGCUUCUUCGACAAGUUGCUUGAGGGACCGUGCCCGAACCACGAGUUCCCCGUGAAGCACGCCUACAAAGACUGCAACCUCAUGAAGAGAUACUUCAUGGGCAAUUCGGUGAAAGGCGACCGGAAGCGGAAGCCCGAUGAGGAAAAGAAGGGCGACGAAGAGAAGGAAGACGGCUUCCCCAAGGUGGACGGCUGCUUCAUGAUCUUCGGGGGCUCUGCGGCAUACGACACCAAGCGCCAGUAGAAGCUGGAGCGCCGGGAGGUCUACGCGGCCGAGCCAGCGACUCCGGCCUUCCUGGACUGGUCAGGGCCGGCCAUCACCUUCGACAGGACCGACCACCCUGGACGCGUCCGGCACCCGGGGCGUUACCCUCUCGUCGUCGACCCCAUCGUCGGCACGACGCGCCUCACCAAGGUGCUCAUGGACGGAGGCAGCAGCCUCAACAUCCUCUACGCCGAGACCCUCGACGCUAUGGGGAUCGACCGUUCCCGCCUCCAUCCCAGCAAGGCGCAUUUCCAUGGCGUCGUGCCAGGGAAGCAGGCGAUGCCUCUCGGGCAAAUCGACCUGCGCGUUACGUUCGGGACCCCUUCCAACUACAGGAAGGAGGUCCUCACAUUCGAGGUGGUGGGGUUCCGCGGAACCUACCACGCCAUCUUGGGACGGCCUUGCUACGCAAAGUUCAUGGCUAUCCCCAACUACACCUACCUCAAGCUCAAGCUGCCGGGGCCCAACGGGGUCAUCACCGUCGGCACGACCUUUCAGAAGGCGUACGAGUGCGACGUAGAGUGCUGCGAGUACGCCGCGGCCAUCACCGUCACGAGCGAUUCGGCAGUCCAGCUUGCGGAGGCCACCGAGGACCGGCCCGACUCCAGGCAGCCGAACAUCUCCUUCGAGCCCGCUGAAGGUAUCAAGGAGGUCCCCCUUGAUCCCGGUUGUUCCAACGGAGGAGUCGUGCGGAUCAGCGCGGCCCUAUCCCCCAAAUAGGAAAGCGCGCUCGUUGACUUCCUCCGCGCGAACAGCGACGUCUUCGCGUGGAAGCCAUCGGACAUGCCAGGCAUUCCGAGGGAAGUCGCCGAGCACUCCUUGAACAUCAGGGCCGGUUCCAAGCCAGUAAAGCAAGGAUUGCGCCGUUUCGACGAGGAAAGGCGCAAGGCCAUCGGCGAAGAGCUCCAGAAGCUUCUGGCGGCCGGGUUCAUCAAGGAAGUGCACCACCCCGAGUGGCUAGCUAAUCCUGUCCUUGUACCAAAAAAGAAUGGGAAAUGGAGGAUGUGUGUCGAUUAUAACGGUCUCAACAAAGCGUGUCCAAAGGACCCGUUUCCUUUGCCACGCAUAGAUCAAAUAGUCGACUCAACUGCCGGGUGCGAGACCCUCAGCUUCCUCGACGCAUAUUCCGGCUACCAUCAGAUCGCGAUGAAAGAGGCCGACCAGCUCGCUACCUCCUUCAUCACCCCCUUCGGUCCCUACUGCUACGUUAAGAUGCCAUUCGGCCUCAAAAACGUGGGGGCUACCUUCCAGCGAUGCAUGCUGUAGUGCUUCGGAGACCUCAUUGGGCGGACCGUUGAGGCCUACGUUGACGACAUCGUCGUAAAAUCCCGGAGGGGCGACCAGCUCGUUCCCGUCCUUGAACUAGCCUUCGAGAGGCUGAGGGAUAAGCGUAUUAAGCUCAAUCCCAAGAAAUGUGUGUUCGGAGUCCCAAGGGGCAUGCUGUUAGGCUUCAUCGUCUCCGUGCGCGUCAUCGAAGCAAACCCGGAGAAGAUAGCGGCCAUUAGAGACAUGGGGCCGAUCCGGAACAUAAAGGGAGUUCAGCGCAUCAUGGGAUGCUUGGCAGCUCUAAGCCGCUUCAUCUCGCGCCUCGGCGAGCGAGGGCUUCCUUUCUAUCGGCUCCUGAAGAAGACUGACCGUUUCGAAUGGACCAGCGAGGCCCAGGAGGCACUUGACCGACUCAAGGACCUCCUGACGAAGGCCCCGAUCCUAGUCCCGCCUACCGACGGCGAGUCCCUCCUGCUCUACGUCGCGGCGACCACCCAGGUGGUUAGCGCGGCCUUGGUGGUGGAACGAGAAGAGGAAGGACACGCUCUCAAGGUGCAACGCCCGGUGUAUUUCAUCAGCGAAGUCUUGUCCGAGUCCAAGACACGUUACCCGCAGAUCCAGAAGCUCGUCUACGCCAUCCUUAUCACAAAGAGGAAGCUGCGCCACUACUUCACCUCCCACCCGGUAACAGUCAUUUCGUCAUUCCCGUUAGGCGAAGUAAUCCGGAACCCAAAUGCUACAGGGAGAAUCGCGAAGUGGGCGCUUGAGCUCAUGGACCAGGGUAUCACCUACGUCCCCCGCACCGCCAUCAAGUCCUAGGCACUCGCCGACUUCGUGGCAGAGUGGACGGAGAUUCAAACGCCAUCGGCGCCAGAGAAGCAGGAGUAUUGGACAAUGUACUUCGACGGGUCACUGAUGAGGGCCCGCGCCGGAGCGGGUCUCGUUUUCGUCUCUCCCUUGGGCAUGCGCAUCAGGUACAUGAUCCACCUUCAUUUUCCUGCAUCUAAUAAUGUCGCCGAGUACGAAGCCCUCCUCAACGGACUCCGCAUCGCCAUCGAGCUGGGCAUCCGUCGGCUGGACAUCCGGGGCGAUUCCCAGUUGGUCGUCGAACAAGUCAUGAAGGAGUGGAGCUGCCACGACCCCAAAAUGGCAGCCUACUGCAACGAGGUCCGUAAGCUCGAAGACAAAUUCGACGAGCUAGAGCUCAACCACGUCGCAAGGCGCUUCAACGAAGCCGCCGACGAGCUGGCGAAGGCGGCAUCCGAAUGAAUGCUCGUCCCCGACGGCGUCUUCGUUAGCGACCAGUUGAAGCCCUCAAUCCGUUACCCAGAACUGCAGGGGUCGGCGAAGCACCCCCGGCCCUGGGAUCGGGACCCGAGUCAGGGGAGGUCGGCAGCGCGCCACCUGUCCGAGACCCGAGCACCAGCCCCGAGGGGGUCGACAACGCUUUGCCCAACUCGGCCCCGGGAGCCGAUCCGUCCGACCCCGGGGUCAUGGAAAUCACGGCAGAUUCCGCGGCGGGUGCCGACCCCCCGAUCGAUUGGAGAGCCCCAUACAUCGACUACCUCGUCCGCGACACGCUCCCGGCAGACAAAACGGAGGCCCGUAGGAUCGCGCGCCGCGCCAAAUCCUUCGCCAUCAUCGACCAGGAGCUCUACAAGAAAAGCCACACUGGAAUCCUCCAGCGCUGCAUCUCGAUCGAACAGGGAAAGGCGCUGAUCAAGGAUAUCCACGCCGGAGCCUGUGGUCACCACGCCGCGCCAAGGACCCUCGUUGGUAACGCCUUCCGACAAGGUUUUUACUGGCCGACCGCGGUCGCGGACGCUACCCAGGUAGUCCGCACCUGUGAAGGAUGCCAGUUCUUUGCCCGCCAGACUCACCUGCCCGCGCAGGCGUUGCAGACCAUCCCCAUCACGUGGCCAUUUGCGGUUUGGGGGCUAGAUCUCGUCGGACCCUUCAAGAAGGCACCCGGGGGCUUCACCCAUCUGCUCGUCGCCAUCGACAAGUUCUCCAAAUGGAUCGAGGCAAGACCGGUGGCGCAAAUCAGGUCCGAGCAGGUGGUCCAGUUCUUCACCGACAUCAUCCACCGCUUCGGGAUCCCGAAUUCCAUCAUCACCGACAACGGCACACAGUUCACUGGGAAGAGAUUCCUCCAGUUCUGCGACGACCACCACAUCCGAGUGGAUUGGGCGGCCGUGGCACACCCCCGCACGAACGGGAAAGUCGAGCGAGCCAAUGGCAUGAUACUCCAGGGUCUCAAGCCAUGGAUCUUCGACCGCCUUAAAAAAUUCGACGGACGGUGGGUUGCGGAGCUUCCCGCAGUCCUUUGGAGCCUGAGGACGACCCCCAGCCGGGCGACGGGCUUCACCCCGUUCUUCAUGAUCUACGGGUCAGAGGCCAUUUUGCCCACCGAUCUAGAGUACAGAUCGCCAAGGGUCAAGGCAUACGACGAACAGGGAAACCAGGCAUCAUUCGAGGACGCGCAAGAUCAACUCGAUGAAGCGCGAGACGUAGCUCUACUGCACUCGGCUAAGUACCAGCAGGCCCUACGGCGUUACCACAGCCGCAAGGUGCAAGGCUGAGCCUUCAACGUCGACGACUUGGUGCUCCGCCUCGUCCAAGACAACAGGGGUCGGCACAAGUUGACUCCCCCAUGGGAAGGCCCGUUCAUCGUCGUACAAGUUCUACGGCUGGGCACCUACAAGCUGGCAACUCCCGACGGGCAGGUUUUCAGCAACGCCUGGAACAUAGAACAGCUAAGGUGCUUUUACCCAUAGCUUUUAUUUCCAAGCCCUGCAUAAAACUUGUCUUCAAUUCCGAUAUUUCCUUUAAGCUCAGGGGUAUCCGACCCUGGCCUCGUUCCAGGGCCGCAUACCCCUCGGGGGCUACCAGUUUUGCUCCUCUGCGAAAAAAAAGAAACCCCGAGCCGUCUCGGUUCAGGCCUUUUCCUUUAAGCUCAGGGGUAUCCGACCCUAGCCUCGCUCCAGGAUCGCAUACCCCUCGGGGGCUAUCAGAGGUUCCGACCCCAGCCGCUCGGCCCUAUCUAAAAGAAACAUUUUUUCUUUUCAAACCGAACACUCCCUUUCUAGACCUUUGGGCGCAAAAAAGAGAAGGAUGCGCGAACGGUGCUCAGGCAAGUUUGAUCGGACUGCGAAAAAACCUACGCCCCAGCGGCUACGGCACCUUCGCUCAUCAAAACUUAAUGACGCACCCGACAACGCAUUCUAAACUUUCAAGCCCAAAGGAACAGCAAAGGGGAUCGGGAUCUUUCGCACAACGAAGUCAUAAACAAGCCUGUAUGGCCAUCACAAAAUAAGUUCGAAACUAACAUAAUUACAUUUUGGGCACAAGCCCGGUACAGUUAACUUGACGAGGGGUCGGCAGGAGGGAUGACCUCAUCUUCCAGGAGCUUCGCGAGGGCCUCCGCCGGCGCGGACACCGCUGCAUCAAUCCCGUCCAGCUCAGCUUCGGUGUAAUCAGCGGCGUACCCUUCACUCAUCCCGGCAAAGUUGAUGCCAGAAUAAUGGGAGCCGAAGACCCCGAAGGCUCGCCGCAUGCCGACGUGAAGCGCGUCCAUGGCGAUCUCGCGACGUCGACGGCGUACCCCAAGGACACGAGCCGGCAGAGAGCUCGACCCCUCCUCCGGAACUACGCCAAAGUCGUCACAGACGACGCGGACCGCAUCCCGCAAGGCGCCGUGCUCGCCGUGCUCCGCGUCGAGCAAACCCUUCAGCUUGGCGAUUUCGCCUGCAGGAACCACCCAGAAAAGCCCACCAAGUCAAGAACAGAACACAAAAUGUCACGGGAACGCGGGAACGGAAAAAAAAAGCCUCACCGUCGGCCCAGGCCUUCAACUCGCGCUCCCGGUCGGCUCCUUGAGACACGGCGGACUGGAGUCCCUGCACUUGCGAGCGAAGGCGACCAGUCUCCGCGCUAAGGGCUUCACGCUCCCCCCUCAGCUGUGCAAGCUCCCCGGCAUCACGACGGGCCCUCUCAGCGGCAGCUUGAAGCUCCUCGGCGUCGCGGCGGACCCUCUCAGCGACAGCUUGGAACUCCUCGUGGUCGAGGCGGGCUUUCUCGAUGACGGCUUGGAGCUUGGCCUCCGAUCACCGCGCCUCCUCCAACGCCGCCCCCUCACGCCUUUGCAGGUCCCGAAUGACCCCCUGGGCGGCAGUGACUUGCAGGGACAGGUCCCUGGUGCGCUCCCUCUCCGCGUUGAAGCGCUCCCAGAGACCCUGCUGCAGCCGAAGGAAAUCAGAUUUCCCCCGACUGCCCUCUUGGAGGGCCUGCAAAGCAACGUGCCAUUAGAAAAAAAAAAGCAAAAGGGAGGUGCUGAUCACCAACAGUAGGAGCAACAUACCUGGCUGCCAGGGAGGACGGUGUUACCCAGAACCCCCAACGCCGAAGACAGAGCCGCCUCAACGUGGGCAAGGCCGCCCUGCAUCGCCUGCCACUUGUGCCACUCAGUGGCGUCGUCCAGCGUGAAGAGAUGCCUCGGCGGGUCAUCGCGGGAUGACCAGCGAAGGACAGACCCCCUCCACGCCCUGGGAACGGAGGGAGCCGAGGCCGAGGCAGGGGCCGAUCCUGACGCUGCCGUCAAGGUCGGCACCAUUGCACUAGAAGCCGCCGAGUUUACUGACGGCCCCGGCACCUGCACGCUCGUCGCCGCCGAGGCCGCCGGCGGUAUCCCAGUGGGCCCCUCCGCCUCCGCCGCCGGAGCCACUCCCGCGGGGGUAAUUGGGGCGGAGGCCCCCGCCUCCGUCACCGUUGCCUCCGCCGCCGCGCUUUCGGGGGCAGGCGUUCCCUCCGCCACCGAUCCCGCCGCGGCUGCGGGGGCAUCCGCCCUACCUCCCGUCGCCGCCGUCUCCUCUGCCUCGUCGGCGUCGAAGUCGAUCACCUUCCCGGCCUGAGAACCCGGGGGGAUCGUGCCCUGCGCUGUAGGGGCGACUGGGGGGACCGAAGGCGGAGUAGGGUCCGCUCCCCCUCCCACGGCUGACACCGCCGUCGCUCCGCCGGCCGCCACCACAGGGGCCGCCUCCGCGGAGGGGUCCGCGGCCUCACCAGGGACCCCGCCGCUCGCCGCGGGCGGGACCGCGGUCCGCCCCCCAGAGGAGGUUGACAACCGCAACGCCUUCUUAGGCACCAGCUGCAGGGCAAGGCCACGAGGGGCGGCGCUGCAUAUCGACAAACAGACGUCAGCACAAACGAGCGUGAGAAGAGGAGAGGAACGAGGCGCAAGGAAGGCCAACUUACGUCCUUGAAGCACAAGGGCGGCGCGCGCGCUUCGACUCAGAGCCCGACGCCGACCCCGGGGCAUCUGGCAGCGGCCGCUUGUCGCCACUUCGCUGCUCUCCAGUCGCGGGCACGGCGGUGGAGGCAGUCUCUGCAGAUCUCCGAGGAGCACCCUGAGCGGACUCCUGGGGAGCGCCCCGCGCCGGCUCUGAAGUGGCGGCGGGGGCAGGCUCCGAGGACCCCCGAGGGGCGCUCCGCGCCAGCUUUGGGAAGGAGCCCCGUGUCGACCCCUGGGGGGCACCCUUCACCGACCCCUGGGGAGCGUCCCGCGCCCGCUCCUGGGAGGCACCCCGCGCCGGCCCCUGGGGGGCGUUCCGCGUCGACUCCUGGGGGGCGUCUCGUGCCGGCUCCGAAGCGGCGGCGGGGGCAGGCUCCGAAGACCCCCGAGGGGCGCUCCGUAUCGACCCCUGGGGGGCACCCCUUGCCGACCCCUGGGGAGCGUCCCGCGCUCGCUCUUGGGACACGCCCCGCGUCGGCCCCUGGGGGGCGUCCCGCGUCGUCUCCUGGGGACACGCUGUACUGGCCCCUGGGGCGCAGCCCCAGGGCCUGGUGGAGCCGAAGCCCGGGCGGGCGCCUCCUCCACUUCACCUCCCGCGGCCGUCCGCGGGGGUGCCUCACGAAUGGCGAGGGCGCCCGAUCGGAAGGAGGAAAUCAGCUCCUCCUCAUCAUCAUCUUCCUCAUCUUCAUCCUCUUCAUCAUCGUCGUCAUCAUCGUCGUCGUCGUCAUCGAACACGACCGACCCCCUCCGCCGCCGUUGGAACUCCUUAGCGGCCUUCUUCCUCUUCUUCGCCAUCUCGAUGUCCUUCCGGCGCUUCUGCGCCUCGGCGAGGAGACGGUUGUGCGUCCGCCGCUCAACAUCUUCCGGCACCGGCGGGAGCGAGUGCGCGACCCGGGUUAGCGGACCCUACAAACGCAAAGCAGCUCCACGUCAGAGUGACAAUCGCAAGACACGAAGAAAGGAGGAGGACGCCCCAACUCCUUACCAGAUCUAUGAGCCCGCAUCCGGGCGCAUCGGCGGGUGCCCGGGAAUCGGGUACUCGACGUCCUUGUCCUCCAGCGCCUCCCGAAUCCGUUGCCGGAUCUCGGAAGCGACGAGCGCACCCGUCGCCAAGGCGGUGCCCUCGGUCGGCGCGUCGGGGGUCAUGGCGGCAAGCGGUCGGAUUCAGAGCAUCAGUGGCGCCACCCGUCGGGUGUGGUACGCUCCGAUGACCCCGGCGCCGGUGAGCCCGUCCCGCUUCAGCCGCUCGAUGGCCUGCAGCAGGUCGAAGAACCGCUUCUUGUCCUUCUCCACUGGCCCGUACGCCCACACCUCCGGCGCCGCGUCGAUGGUACGGCCGGUGAAAGCCGGCAGGGGGGAGUUCGGGUAGUUCUUCACAUAGAACCACUGGUUGUGCCACCCCUUGUGGGACGCCGAGGUCUUCAUCGUCAUGUUCUCCUUGGAGCGGGUAUGACGAAGGUGGAUCCCGGCGCACCCGAUCGGCACCGGAGGUGACCGCUGCUGGCUCCCUCGCUUCUCCGUCUUCUGGUACAGGCUCACUGUGAAAAAGUAUUUCCACAGCGAGAAGUGGGGCUCAAUGCCUAGGAAUCCCUCGCACAGGGCGACGAACGCCGCAAUGUGCUGGAUCCCAUUGGGUUUGAGGUGCUGGAGCUCGAGCCCAUAGUAGUGGAGGAGCCCCCGAAAGAAGCGGCUCGAGGGAGAGGCGAACCCCCGCUCAUGGAAGUGAGCGAAGGAGACGAUGUAGCCAGAGAGAGGCUCCGGCACCUGCUCCGGGCCCGACAGCAACCACUCAGCCGCCUCCGUCUUCUCGCAGAGGAGGCCUUUUCGCACCAGGCCCUCGGCGCGCGAGGAGGUGAAAUGGGAGAUCCCCCAGGAACCCAUCGCCGGAGGAGGGAGAUCAACGGAGGUGAGAAGAAAGGGCACGGCUUGGAGCAAAGGAAACGAAGCGGGCACGGACAAACUGAACGCUAGGCUGGAGGGCGGAAAGGCUCGAAUGCAGAAGGCGGGCGGAACCGGCGCGGCGGGCUCCCGUUUUUAUAGGAAAGGUACGGGAGAAGCCAAAUCGACGCCCCGGCCGCCAUAAAUGCGGCGCCAGGUACGCCCCUGCCACGCCCGUUUCCUUUUCGAAAACCGCGCGCACGGCCGGCCGCGAAAACAUCCUAUCCUCCUCGAUUCGCGGGAUGGCGCUUCCCAUAACUCCACCUCCCGGAAGGCACGACGUCCCCCACGUUCGGCCCAGACGUCACGACCGCUCCGUUCUGGCCCAAGGCCCACCGAAAGGUAAGAAAGGGAUACGGGGCUGAAAACGCCCCUACGGCCCAUUACGGUCCAGAGGUUCGAAGGCUGGCCCACCGCGGGAUCGACAGCUGCCUCAGGAUAUCUCCCGAGCAAGGGGUGAGAAGGGACGGGUCCACUAGCGGCCAACACCCAGGCAAGCGAAAGCCAAGGGCGUCCCGACCUCACGUUCGAGUCCCGUCCGGUAUAAAGUUCAUGGUUUUUCCACGGGGAAAGGCAACGAGCCCCCGGAUUCGGCCGAACGGACCCGGGAACUAUAUGAACUGGCCGGCGGGAAAUUGUAGUACGCCACCAGCUUGGCCCGAGCCGGACCCCCCCGAACGGGGACCGGGACUCCACUCGAACCUACCUGUUCGCAGCUCAAAGCGAGCACCACGGUUCGUCCAACUAGGAUAACGUGGCACGGCUCAACCCCUCCGUCCUAGCGAACGGACGCUUGAGGGGCAACGACCAAAAGUCGACCUGGCCUCCCGACCGGUCUCCCGCAACGAGCAGGGGCUCGGGGGCUAGCAUCGCAACCAACGACCAUGCGUAUGGUCACGAUUCCCAGGCUCCCCGGCCAAACCGGGAUGAAGCAAGCGCACCAUAAACAAAAUCCACGGAGAAACGGCGAAAGAAGCCUCCGGAGGAGCACUUUUUGCUCCACCACAGGCUCGGGGGCUACUGUUGGGGGGAAAUAUUAACGAUCCCCUAAAUACCGCUUAAAGGAGCAGACGCGAAGGCCCGGGCCCACCUAAGCAUAAUCAAAACUCCGCCUCGCCCGACCGCGGCCUCAGGGUCAGGAACGCCCGACUCCCCUCCACGAGGUUUCCGCCUCGUCCGACUACGGCCCCAGGGUCGGAGGCGCCCGACCCCUCGCCACAAGGUUCCGCCUCGUCCGACCCCAAGCGCAAGGGUCGGGCUCGCUGGGGCCCCCAGGGCAGGCAUCCCCCUCGGAUGCGGACCAGGUGGGCAAGGUAAACAAAUGCUGCGGGUCCCUCCCCCGUCGGGCUCAUCAUAAAUGCGCCGCAGGCCUGGCAGAGGGAGGAAUGACCGUGCUCCUCACACAACCCGCCGCAAGUACCCAUGCACGACCAUACUCUACAAGCUACAGCGCUGGCGGCUCACUCCCAUUCGCCGCAGGGUACUCAUGGCCUGCGCCGACCGGAGCGGAGGAGAGACUCGCCUGUCCUCGGGCCCCGCGCACCCUCGGGUCCCGUGCGCCUGGCAGCUAGGAUGUGACGCCCUCUCUCCAGGAGCCAUCAUCAGAACGGCAGCAUCCACCGUCCUCCCCAACGGACACCGGGAUAACGACGAAACGCCCUCAUCAUAACCCGACGCCGACGGAUGCCGAAGGAGCUAUCUGUAGGGUGCGACGACAGUUGGCGCACGGCCGCCUCCCCCUCCGGCAUGCACGCCGGCGCUCGCCAGGAGCCGGCGGAGGCGUCGGGCGUCUAGGAACUUGUUCCUCCCAUCCUGCCGUAUUUUUUACCGUACUACGUUCACAUUUUACGGUCCUCUUCGCCCGAUCCCAACUGUAACUCUGGCCACUCCCCUUGCGAUAUAAAAGGAGGAAGACAGGGCCGGAGGGGGGAUCGGCUUCUUCCCCCUCAAGCCACAGCACGCUAGUACGCUCCCUGAGAACAUAGGCACAAAGAGACUUGGGACCAGUCCCUCUCUCGUCGGUCUGUAACCCCUACUACAGAACUCCGCGUGGGUAAUACGAGCAUUCACGAUACUGGACGUAGGGCUCCCUUUGCCCGAACCAGUCUAAUUCGUGUCUCCCACGCCACCAUCUGAGGCCUUACGCGCAUAAAAGAAAUUUACUAGUCUAAGUCUUGAUCCGCCAAUCUUGACAACGACAAAUCUAAAAAUCCAUAACUAAUUAAUUUUAAAUCAUAAAAGUUUGAAACUAUUACCCAUCAUCUUUUUCUAGAAUGUUACCUUUUAUGUUGGUUUUUUUGAGUUAUUUGCAUAUUAUUGUCCCCAUCUCUAGUGUUUUAUUGCUUGUAGUCAAACCUACUAUUUAUUUAUUGUUGUUUUGCAUUGUAUGAUUAUUGGAUGCUAUGCGAUACAAAGAUAAUUGUUCAACAACCAUAUGCAUCAUGAAGAAAUUUCCGGAUACGAUUGAUAUUAGUACAUUAUUAACUUCUUAUCAAGAAAUAUCAAUGAAGUGUUUUAUAUGAAUAUUUUUAAUGCACCUUGAGUUUUUGGAUAACCUUUUUCAUAAAAGUUAAUUAGAUGCAUUCUUAACUAAAUAAGCCAUUUGGUAAUUUUUCAAAAAUGUUUAUUUAGGUAACAGAAAAUUUAUUUAUUUAUUCUGGAAAAAGUUUUUUUUUAACGAAGUUAGCAAGGAAAGCACCUACCUAUUCUUUAAUUGUUAUUUUAGAUCCGUUUAAUUCGCUCCCACGAGAAGUUGAAUAUAGACCUGCAGGAUGUUACUCAGGUGCUCUAACCACUAGACUAGAGUCCCUUUCGCUUCUGAAAAAGGUUUUACAAAAAUCUUUUCCCUAUUAUCUUUUGUUAAGUCUGGGAUGUUGCCGCACGUGGGAAAGAAAGAACGGGAAACAUAGACCGAGACCGCUGCUGCGCCGCCACCAUGCUUCGCCGUUGGAGGGUUAGGGUUCGGGGUUUCGGGUUAUGGGUCAUCGAUGGCGCGGCUAUCUCCGAUGUGGCUGGGAUAUAUGGGAGGUUGACGGUGGCUAGGUAGCAGGCGGUGGUGGCGGGUUGUGUGCGGGAUGGCGGGACACCACCAGUUCCGAUUUGUGGAAGACAAUAGGUGGCCUCUAGAGGCAGCGGGGGAAUCUUGGUGAGCUUCCCGCGCGGGGCUGGGUUAGGGCGGCGAAGGAUGGUGGCGGUGGAUGUGGCAGCGCGAGCCGCCGGAGAUGAUGGAGGAUGGCGGCGCGGGCGCGAGCAAAGGAGGACAGUGCGAUGGUGAUCGAGGGUUGCGACCGGCGACGCCGGAUGCAGUGGCGAGAGCCGUCGGAGCUAGAGGAGGAGGGCAGCGCGGGGGCAUGGGCGUGCGCGCUCCUGGGCUGCCAUCACUGAAGGUGACAUUGGUGAUUUUUGUCACCUUCUGUGAUAUAUAGAUAUAGACAUGCUCUAGAUAGAGGACUCCUUGGAGAGACCCCGAGAAUGGAGAUGGGCAUUUGGAGCUCUUCCAAAAUAAGGAAUCUAGAGGACUUGCUAGAAUGCAUUUUUUUUGACUUGGUCCAUUGGAGUUGUUCUAAGCCAACAACUAUUAGCAUCCUUUUAGAUAACUCUGUUAAUCUGAAAUACAACAGUUUCCUACUUUAUGUAUAAUGAGUGUCAUUGCGUCACUACGUACGAGGUCUACUUUAUGGCGGAUCUGAAGGUGUGUUUGGUUGGGAUGUGGCUUUUGGAAAAGCUACUGUGAGCUGUGGGCUGUGAAAAAGUAGCGGGGAGAAAGCAGCUGUGGGAAAAGCAGAAGACCGUUUGGUUAGAGCAGCUACGAAACUGUAGGUUGUGUAAGAAAUACCUGUAAUGCCCCUAAAGGUCUGCGGGUGUGUUUACAUGCAAAUUGCUCAUAACAAAAUAAUGUGUUCACUAAUUCACAUGUAAAUGACUAUUUUAGAAAGGAAAAAAAAUAAAUUUUAUAUGUUCUUCAUCCAUAUAAGUGAUUGGUCCACAUAAAUAGAACAAUAUCCAUCAAAAGGUUUAUACAAUGAUGUCAUCUCUCAACAUUACUGUCCUCCUCUCGCACUAACCAAAGCAUCAACUAUCCUAGCAUGAAUGAUAUUCAUGGUAUCCUCAUUCUCCAUAUCGUCACUCUCAUCUCCUUGUGUUUGUCUCGUGCCACUUGUAUAUUGUACCAAGUACUCCUACAAAACCGAGUUAGUAAGGUACAUAAUAAUACACGUAUUUCUAACUUGAUGAAGGAAUCAUGUAUACCUUUAGGAGGCACGAGAAAUAUGUCUCAAAGCAUUGUCGAGAAAAUUGAAAGAAAAGAUGAUGAACAAAGGAGGGUCAAUUCUUGUUGCUCUUUGGACUAGAGGAUUGACGAUGAUCAUUGCAGUCCUAACAAUUCUCUUGUUGCAGAACAGAGUAGCAACUUCUGAGUAGCAUAUGAUUCUUACAUCUUCCAGGCGAGGUGGCUAGUGUGCUGGAUGAAGUUGAGGUCCCUUGGCAACCUGGCAAACGCCUCCGUCAUGUCUGCAGGCAAAAUUUCCAAAAAAAACAAGAAGAUUUCAACACCACCAACAAAGCAAGCAUGUAAUCACCUGAUUAAUCAAUCAGCAAACAAUUCACAACUAGCAAUCUGUAGAAAUUAGCACGCCAUUACCGUCCUGGGUGAUGAGCGGGUAGUCGGAUGCGUUGAGGUUGACGAACCAGUCCCAGCGGCGGUGAAGGCGGAGCAGCAACGCGACGGCGUGCAGCGUGGUGGUGAGCAUGGUGGGGCCCCGGUAGGUGACGAGGUUGGGCCUGCCGACGAUCCACACGUUGCCCGCGAUCGCGUACACACCCCACCUGGACAUGAGCUCUGCCAGCCGGCAGUGCUCCUCCCCUGGACCGCAGGUAGUUGUUGGCCGGGUGGUACAGUGCCGCCAGCAGCCGCAUCGUGCGGCCCACUUCCCCUGAGGAUGCCGAGAUAAGGUAUGCGAACGAGAUCGGGUACCGCGGCGCCUCGCCGGCGGCACCGUCGAAGGCGGCCAACGAUGAGAGUGUUGACGUCGGUUUUUGACACGUGUCAGGGUCGACGUCAAGAGGAGAAGAAAGUGGCUGAUGCGGUUAAACAAGAAGCUAUGGCUAGAGAAAUCAGUCAGUAAAGCUAUAGUGUUUCAGCCGAUUAGCUAAUGAGAUAGAUGAAGACUGGCCGAUUGGAAGCUAGAAAAGCUCGGCCGAUAUGGGCCUAAAUGGGCCAAGGUGGUAACAAGAUGAAGAUAGGAUUGGCCCAUAGAGGAUUGGAUGGUGUUCGACUCCGAUACAAGUUGUAUCCGUAUGUAAAUAUUUGUUGCUUUGAAUAAGAAAUAGAAUAUUGAGUCAUAGUCGGUUAGGAAACGAGUUGUAACAGGGUAUAAAUAGGUGCCCCGUGAGGCUGGCAAAAACAUCAACAAACAUCAAUACAAAUCUACUUUUUCAUGCAACUUUACUUUCAUGUCGGCGACUUUGCCAAACCCUUUUCUUUUCACGAGUUCGUGUGAGUUGGCAGGGCUGCAUCAACGUGAUCUCCGAGCAAUUUGUAAGUUCCGCGUUUCGAGUAAUAUAUAAGCUUUAACUUUGGGCGUAUCGCUGUUGUUUUGUUUAGAUUUAUUCACUAGUUAUCGAUAUUUGCUAGAAUUAUAGGUUUUAUUCUCCGGUGGAAAGAUUGUGCCUUUGCCUGUAUUUCUCUUGCACUAAACUCAGGCGAUACCUAUUAUCGGCGGAAUGUGUGGUCGCGUGUAAAGUUGAUGUUGUCAAGUAUAUGUUAUCACUGCCGAUCUUGAAGGGAAGGAUUGGAAAAUGUAUUCUGGCACUCUCAGAAUUCGAUCUCAGGUACGAAUCGGCCAAGGCCGUCAAGGGUCAGGUAAGGCUGAUUUCGUCACCCAACACUGUGGAUCAGAAAUUACUGUCGUUGAGCCGGCUCCAUGGACUCUGUACUUCGAUGGAUAUUCGUGUGGGAUUGGAUCAGGAAUCGACAUAAUUCUUAUAUCGCCUCGGGGGGCAAGUUAUGAGUUCUCUCUGCCGAUUGAGGCUUCCGCUACUAAUAAUCAAGCAGAAAAUCGGGCUGUCUUAAAGGGCAUCCAAUUAUUGAGGGAGGUCAAGGCUGACGUGGUAGAAAUAUUUGGGGAUUCCAUGAUUAUCGUGGAUCAGUUGAUUGCAAAGUGUGAGUGCAAGGAUGAUAUUCUAAGGAUUUAUUAUGAGGAAUGCCUCCGGUUGCUCAAAGAAUUCAAGACCGUAACUAUUGAACAUAUCCCUAGGGAUUACAAUGAGGAAGCCAAUAGACUUGCCCAGCACGCUUCUGGCUACUGGCCGAUUCAUGGCGCUUUCGCUCUAGAGCUGGCGGCCGACAACUGGAGGAAGGAGAUCGCCGAUUAUUUAAAGGAUCCAUCCAAGAAAGUUGAUCGGCAGAUACGCUUCCAAGCCACAAAGUAUGUGUUACUUGAAGAUGAAUUGUUUUAUCGGACGAUUGAUGGAGUGUUUCUCAAGUGCCUUAGCAUUGAGGAAGCAAAGAUUUUGAUGGGUGAGAUUCAUGAAGGUCUAUGUGGGACCCAUCAAUCGGCUUUCAAGAUGAAGUCGAUGAUUAGAAACAAUGGGUAUUACUAGCUGACAGUACUUGAAGAUUGUUUCAAAUAUUAUAAAGGCUGUCAGGAUUGUCAAAAAUUUGGCAACGUGCAACGAGCCCCGGCCUCGGCUAUGAACCCGAUAUUAAAGCUGUGGCCAUUUAGAGGCUGGGUAAUUGAUCUCAUCGGUUAGAUCUAUCUGCCGUCAAGCAAAGGGCAUAAGUUCAUAUUGGUGGCGAUUGACUACUUCACCAAGUGGGUUGAGGCGGUUCCUUUGAAUGUUGUGAUGUCGGCCAACAUGAUCGAAUUCAUGAAGGAGCACAUCAUUUAUCGAUUUGGUAUUCCUCAGACCAUCAUGAUUGAUCAGGGGUCAAUGUUUACCUCAGGGAGUUCGAGGAGUUCACUGCCAGUAUGGGAUUAAGCUGUUGAAUUCUUCUCCGUAUUACGCUCAGGCCAAUGGUGUGACGACCCCGGUUAAAUCUUUCGAGUUAAUCUUAAUACGAGCCCCAAAAUUCCUCUGUCUCAGUUUUUCCCGAGCAGGAGUGCUCCACUCCAGUUCCUGUUCCUGACCCGUGAAGACUCUAACUCACCCCGCCAGUUCCUUUUAAGUCUCAACAACAGUGUCCCUUUCAAUCUUGAACAGAGGAAAGACCGAGACUGACGGAUGGACCCGCAAUCUUUUCCCCGGAUCUCCCGAGGCAUACGCACUCGAGCGGCCUGCACCGCUUCAGAGCUCCCCCGCCGCGUGGCUCAACUUCUCCGACGCCCGCCGCUUCACCCAAUCGCCGGCCGGGACAGGAUAGAUUCUCACGCCCUCCUCCCCAAUCGCAGCGGAAGCCCCUCUGCAACCCUUUCUGCUGCGCCUCGUCUCGCUCGCGCCCUCGCCGGCCGCGCCUUGGUGCUCCGACACCGCUGUGGCAGAGCUUUGCCGCUUGCUGCAUCCAAACUACCUCGCAGCUCACGCCCGUCAUCAUCUCACUGGAUCCCCGACUGCAAGGCCCGAUGCCUUCCGACUUUUCCACCGCCUCUACACAGUCGCGCUCGCCUGCGCAGCCGCAGCCUGCCUAUCUUUUCACCGGUUGCAACCUCGCUUGUAGCGCCGUUCUCCCUGUCACACCCAUCAGAUCCGCCGCAUGACGACGCCCGCCUCCGCCAAACCUCAACUACCGGCAAAACCGCGCCUGCGCCGCCUUGUCUCCCGUGCCCAAUAGCCAAGGACCCUAUCUCCGAAAUCCUGUUCCGCCGCCCAUCGACGCCCAGUCGCCGCCAUGGCAGCGCACUCCAUCCUUUUCUUCCGGUCUUCGUGCUACUCCAACUCCCUCUCUCUUUCGCGCAGCUAUAAAAAGGAAUGCCAGAGCCCUACUGGAGAUCCCUUCACCAUCGUUGCCUCGCCGCCUUGUUCCUGAGCGCCGCCACCUAAGUUCUUGAGGAACUCUCAUCUUCGCUCAACACCCGCCCCUCCCAAUCCACCAAGCCGCCUGCUCCUCCACGCUAUGCUAGAGCUUCCUUGUUGCUCACAAGAAGCUCCGCCGCCGCCGGAGCACCGCCGGACAUAGCCGCCACCAAAGCCUUAGUGCUUAAGACCUUCCGCCCAAGUCUACUCCUUCCCGACCCCAAAGCUUCACCUAUAAACCAAAGGUAAGCUGCCGACCCCUUACCGGUUCGCCCGACCCUACCUGUUCGCCUGACCCUACCUGUUCGCCCGACCCCUCUUUCCAUCUCGCCCGACCCUGUCUGUUAGCCGGCCCUUAUCUUCUUCGCCCGAGGACUCGGCUGUACUCUUUUCCUUGACCCGAGGGUAUCUGUGUAAGAUUUCGGGGACUUCUCUGUAAUAGCUUUGAGGACCCCAAACACAUUAAGGCUUAUGGGUCAGAUCAUAAGUUCUUCCAAUUCGACCCUUGGUCUUGUUCUCUAUCCACUGAAGCUUGAACCCCCACACUCUUUCCGUAGCUUUGCUACAAGUUUCUGGGCUAAGACUUGCGAGUGUUGCUGUUGAAAUAACCGUCUAGACACUAACUCCAGCAUUGCAUUCGUGUAGAGUUUCAUCUUGCUGACGGCGUCUACGAACUACACCCGGUGCCAGAAGACGGAGCUGUAGCUGAGCUACCAGUUCCAGAAGCCGAAGUCGCACCAGCUGAAGACCCGCUUCCCUCCCCUCCACUUGAAGGCAAGUCCCGGAGCAUGAACCCCAAAGUUUCCCAAACUUGCGCAUGCCUUCUUUCUCAUGUUUGUGCAUUUACGUAUAGGAGUUGUUUGCAACCUUAGAUGCAUGGUAUAGUUCCUUGAUCGGAACACUAGUUGUUGAAUCGAGUAGUUGCUAUGCUUAAAUAGGAAGUGGUAAAAGUCGAGUGAUUUCCUGUCACUCGCGAGUUAUAGGAGUUGGUUGUUCUCCUUCUGUUACAACUAUAAGGACGAUGGAUGGGGCAAGGUUUUGGUUAACUCUUUUGCUAGUCGGCUGAUCCCCCCGUCUGUCUAUGGAAUCUGUUAAGGCCCGAUAGUGGUGGUGUUCGUGAUCAAGUGUUUGAAAGUACUAAUCUCAUACCUAGUAUGGGAUGGGGAAGCCUAGUACCUGAUUGAACUAGGGCGUGGCUUAUACCCCUGCUGUCCCUGGAACGAGGUUCCCAUGGUGCAUCAUGUGGGUGCAAGUGCGGUCACAGUACGGUAGAGGCCGGGAUUGUGGAGCAUUGCAUGCCAAGGGAAGUUGGACCUGACACGUGCCUGGGAAUUGAUGGGGACGGCUGACACAGGAAGCGACCCUUGUGGUGCGCGGAUGUCGUGAGAUUAGGUUUGCCAUGCAUGGUUAAGAAACUCGAAGGAUUCGUCUGCCUCUCACAGUUUGAGACUGCUUGAUCGCUAUGCUACACUGAUUAAUGAAAGAGUCUGAUGAUGACAUGGUCUUGAUGAGUAGCUUAUAUACAUAAAGUUGGAUCUAUGUUUGCUUAGAGUAAGAUGCCAACGUAGACUGGUUAAUGAACUUAGAAUUUGAGCUAAAACUUGAAAGCAAGGACCUAACGUAGUAGCUUUUGGCAAACAAAACCCCUCAGCCAAAGAGCCUUGCAUGUCUAGACGUGGUGGAGUAGUUUUACCACCGGUCGGUUAAGUCUUGCUGAGCGUAGCAGCUCAACCUUGUUUGUGGCUUUCUUUUCAGGUGAAGUCGCAGCUCCUGAGUUUGCUUCCGUUGGCACUUGGCCGCCCCAGCUCCCUCCGGGUUGGACGGUUGAGUGGGAUCCUUCCUCGGACGGUGAGGAGAGGGAUCAUUGAUGUCCUGAUCGGCCUCAUUAGGGACAUCCGACCCUGGCGCUAGCUUCCGCUAAUUUAGCUUUCCGCUGCUUUUGAAUCUUGUAAAACUCUGAUUUUUGUUUUUAUGUUGAACUAAAUUGUCAAACUUGUUUAACUCAGUGGAUCUGUUGUAUUCUCUGAAACCGCUCACCUUCGUGUGAGUUUCGCUAAUCCGGUCCUGUAAGUGGUUUAAUCGGAGGAAAUCCGACGGCCCUUCGAGUUAACUUGACUAAGGCAUAAGUGUCGCGUGUCAGGCGACUUAACAAUGCUUUAAUCAAGGUAAUCCGAGGUGGUUCCACCACAAAUGGUCAGGCCAAGUCAUCAAAUAAGGGGGUUAUUAAACUGAUUAAAAGGAAGGUCAAAAAACAACCAAGACGGUGGCAUACAACGCCGAAUGAGUCCUUAUGGGCUUAUCGGAUGGCUUGCCGCGGUGCCACCAAGGUGUCCCCUUAUCAGUUAGUAUAUGUGCAUGAAGCAGUAUUACCUUGGGAGUUGAAGACUGGGUCUAGACGUGUGUCACUUCAGAAUCAGUUGUCGGUUGAUGACUAUUCCGCCCUCAUGAGGGGAGAAUUGGAAGAUUUGGCGAAUCAACAGCUAAGGGCUUUGAUCAGCAUUGAGGAAAAUAAGAAAAGAGUCACCAGGUGGUAUGACAAGAAGGUCAAGGUCAAAAGGUUUUCCCAAGGGGAUUUAGUCUGGAAGUUGGUUCUGCUGAUAGUAUGGAAAAUGGUCGCCCACUUGGGAAAGGCCAUAACGGAUUAGCCAAUGUGCUCUAGGCAAUGCAUACAUACUGGAGACUUUUGAGGAAGAAGAAUUUACAAGGGCCUUGAAUGGAAGAUAUUUGAAAAGAUACUACCCUAGUAUAUGUGUAGGCGCUUAGCCGAUGAUGUGGCAUAACGGGCUUUCACGGUCGACGCGUACUGAUUCGUGUUCAUAUAGCCGAUGCAAGGGGCAUCGCCUUAAGAUUGAAAGAGGCGAAAUAGUGUAUAUAUAACUAAACCGAUCAUUAUUCGGUACACCAACUAAAUAUAUGGCCGGCAUGAUACAAGUCGCCCUUAGAUAAAAAGUACCGACACAGUUAUGGGUUACAACGAUUUAACAACGUUUCAUGUGAGCUUUAUUCAUAUCGAUUUCUUUCUGAAGUCGAUCCAAUUCGAUCUGGAGUCGGGCGUUCUUCUCCUCUAGUUCUGCCAUGUCAUCUUCAACAGCAACUUGACAGGGUAACAGAUGGCUUCUUUCGACUGAUUGCCGUGGUUGCCUUCUAGAAGCUUUAGCCUCGAUGUCAUCCACAAUCCUCUUGAUAUUCACGGGGAGGUGAUCUCUGAGUUCCUCACGAUGAGUUUGGAUCAGGUCUUUGUCAGCCUGAGUGAGCGGUUCAUCGGAGUGGAGGAUCUCAAUGGCUCGUUCAAGAUCACGGCUGAGUCGGUUUGGCUACGAGAAGAAUUGAUGAUCAAUUGACAGAGGGAUUGGUCGAGAGAUAGGAGAUUGACUUCGUACCUGAUUGACAGAGGAGGAGGAGGCCAUCUUGGUCGCUCGAUCGAAGAUUUGUAAGCGCGCGCAAGGAAUGGUUGAGUGGGUGUUUUGCGAAUGCCUUCAGAAGGGAUGCGAAGGGUUUGUACUUAUAGAACAGAAUGGCAAUGGACAAAGGUCGGUAAAAGGAGGGCAUUUAAAGAAAGCGACCGUUGAGUCAUAAAAGCUACGUGAGGACUGUUCAGACUUGCAUUUCAGACAAAAACGCCAAAAGUAUCAACGUUACACAAGAUGUUCAAAGGCUGGUUGAGUUCGUUACAACUAUCCGAGGAGAUUGUUUAUGGUCUCAAUCGCUCGCAGGCGAACUUGGUUGGCCACCUCCAACACUCGCCGAUCAUCAUCGGCUGAUCCUAAGACUUCUGGCGCAUUGCGAUGAAGAUGGAUGGCCUCGUGAGUGAGGGAUUGUCUUUCUUGUUUAAAAUCAACGAUGGCGGUUGGAAGAUCUUCAAGUUUCUUUUCUUCGGUAGCGAUAGCCUUUACGACCAGUUCCAUCUCCUUGGUGAGCUCUGCUCUGCGCCAUUUGAGUUGGUCUAUUUCACUGAUGAUGCUUGGAUGAGAAGUCUCAUGGAGACCGAUCUACCGAUGUACGUGUUGUGCACGGUGCUUGUAGGACUCUUCUUCUUGACGCACCAUCUCCAAUUUAGCACGGUCAGCCAUGUGUCGCAAGGCUCUAAACACCGGGACCCGCAUGGUUUCGAUAUAUGCUGCGGGUGUGAGAACCUCUUCUGCGUCUUCUGGGACUUGGCCUUUGAUCUCGUUGAAAAUCCACCGUAUCAGUUUGGCAUCUUCCACCAAUCGACCGAUGUUUUCCUGAAGAAGGGUUCGCAUGUUUUGGAGCUUGGCACGGACAUCUUCUGGUAUUGAGCUCAGAGUUAUUUGGCGUGAUGCAACUUCUUCGUCAUCAGAGACCGCAAUUGCAGAGGAGAAGAGGCUUUUGUUUGGCGUGUCUUACUCCUGCAGGGAUGUGGGAAAGUGUUUUAGCCGAUAAAAGUAAAAAAUCGGCUGGUAGAUAUAGAAGGUUCUUACCUCCUUCAAACAAAUCUCUUCUGCUUGGGUUGGCAGAGUCGUUACUCCCACCUCAGAAGUUUGCGGAGGUAGCUCAUUAGAGGGGGAAGACUUGACAAUGAUCGGCUCUCUAGGCGUAGCUGAUAAUGUGCUUGGACCAGCCUCCUGGAAAAGGAACAAAGGAAUCAUUUUUGAGUAUAAAAUAAUACUGGAUCUAAGUAGAAGUCUCGGUUUUCUUACCUCUCGGACGCGCGCAGCCAACGGUAGCACCAGGGGAAUGACUGACGUAUCUGGAGCGUCCUGUGUCAAGAAUCGUCUGAUUUUAGUUAUCAGAACUGUGGAGACUAAGGGAAGAGCAUGUUCUUUACCUCAAUUUGAAGAUUUGUAGGUAACACAAUUUUAGCUUGAGAAUCGGCCAAUUAAGGAACAGUCUGCUCUAGGAUAGGUUGUACGGCCUGUUGAAAAGAAACAAAUUUAGUAUUGGUGAUACAUAUGAAGAAGUCAGAGCAGAAAGAUUACUCGUGUAGCUUUCACCAAGAGUAACACAAUCGCCGACCCAGCCUCUGAUGCUGCUAGGGGAUCAAUGUCCUGAAUUGCCGACAAUACAUCUGCUUGGAUUGGUGCGGCUGAGGGCUCGACCGAUGUUGCUGCCGAUUGGUGGGUUGUUCGAGUUGUCGUAGAUUCAGUACGAGCUCAUACCCUGCGACUCGUCUUCUUUGUGGUGGAUAUUUUGAGCUUAUGCUUCAAUCGGUUGGUGGCUAUGUCCUCCAUUGAUGGGGCGUGAUAGCCGAUGAGAGGGUACGGUGUGUACGGAUGAUGGGUCUGUAUCAGUCUGCCACUCUAACUGUGCGUUGGAGGCACUUGGCUAUCAACCUGUGCAGGGUAAAAGGAUAAUGAUAAGAAAGUUCUGCAACAUGUGAAAAUUAUUGGUAAGGAAUCGACAAAAAAGUAUUGUUACCUCUGCAUUCGGAUCAGUGUGAGCGGGGUCCAGUUGAUUGCAAUACACUGCAGGGGCCGCACAGGAAAGGUACUGUUUCCACUCGGCCCACCACAAUUUGAAUUGUUGAGUGGAGAAGGGGACCACCAGCCAAGCGCUCAGAUCGAUGGUGUCGGAAUCCGGUGUCAGAUUACACAAUCUGUUGUAUUCCAGUCCUUUUGAAAUCGGUUCUCAAAAUUUCACUCGGCCGACGAAGUGAAUCCGAUUGGUAUUUGUCCCAAGCCAAAUUGCCGAGCUGCUACCGACGGGUUAUAGAACUCAUAUGUUGGAGAGUCCUUGCCAGAGAAGAAAUUUGCCGGUAGAAUCCCAGGUUGAUCAGGGUGUCCAUGAUUCCUUCAUCGAAGGUAUCGGUAGCCUAGUCAAAACAGUCAGGAUUCUAAAAAGUUGGGUUCUCUCUCUGAUAUGGAUACCAAUUCGUCACCUCUUCUUUAAAGCUGUUGUAAAAGCAUCUAAAGUGCUCGGCUAUUCUUGAGGGGGCAAGCUUGCCGCCUGGGAAAGUGGAUACGGCUUCACUAAAGGAAGUACAGCGGCGUCUGGCCAAUGGGUCGGUUUCUGAUUUAACAUUAGGAAAGUCUUGGUCUCAAUCCGCUCCUUGAAGAUUUCGCUCAUAUAUAAGUUGAGCUAGAGAUUGACAAACCACCAAGGACCACCAGGAUUCCUGAUAGGUUCUCCAGAUGAUAGCUUCACGCCGAUGUGAUGCAGCAUGUAAUACACUGACCCUAGUAGAUGCUUUCCCAAAGGGACUGUGGCUCCUCUAACUAGUGCUUCGGCCAAAGCCUGUGUGUUGGAAGUAGGACUGGCUAAUUUACCACAGAAGACAUACCUUUCCUGCCACAUCAUCAAGAAGGUCGUGUGCUCUUUUUCUGUGUUGGGUCCGGUCCUCAUGUUCUUCUCAAUGUAGCCUUUCCAUGUGCUGAUGGCUUUCGUCUCCAGCCGAUGGGUGGGUUUGAUUAAGAAAUCGAAAGGUGAGUCGGUGGAGGAAACAUCGAGGCCAGUCAGCAUCAGAACAUCGGCCAGGGUUGGAGUCAUUGGCCCAUGGUCGAAAAGAAAUGCAUUGAGAGCAUCGGACCAAAAGUAAGAUGCCGCGAUGAGCAGAGAUUCUUUCUUUUCCAUAUGAGAUAGAGAUAAAUUUCUGCAAUGGCCGAUUUUUCGCUCAUCCCAGAAGACUCUGUUGGAAUUUGACAUUCUAAAAAACCAAUCUCUCCAUCCGGGGGUUUGAUUCGGCCAAGACUUGAAAGUGUUCGCCCAAUUGUCUAGUUCCAUGGUCGAUUGCUUAAAAGGGAUCCUGUGAGUUUCUAGUUUAAUCAGAUCGGUUGGGUUAGGAUCUCCCAUAGAGCCAAGAUCGAUGAAUCCAGGGGUGUUGGCCAUGGGAUGGUGAUUCUUUGCCUGAGUUCUUGAGCAAAUGCGAAGAAAGACUAAGAACAGAUCUAAAAUCGCGAAAAGAUGAGGAGAGCCUAGAAGACUUACCUCAGGAACGAAGGUCAUGGUAGCUAUGGGUGCCACCAUUGGAGCUUGGGAGUUGGUGCGGUCGGUGAAGGACGUGAGCAAGUCACUGGAGUGCGCUGGGAUGUGCCUAGAAGUGGCACGAGCAAGGUCGCUGGGGUGUGCCGGGAGAUGAUUCGCUGGAAAGGAAACCCUUUUCGCCCGGAGGAAGAUGAAGCGGCGGAAGAGAUGAGUAUCUGCACGAUGACUCGGGAGAAGGGUAAAUAUGAAAUUUUUACCACGCCGUCUGCGCUAAUUUCGAAAGGAGCGGUUGCCUACAGGUGCUCAGUUCGAAAAAAUGCAAUCAUCAAGGAGAAGAUUUCGGGAGCAAAGAGGGUUUUGCUGCAUUUAUUGUUGCGUCUUUUCUGAAAGAAGGAAUCAGAGUUGAGAAAAUUUCGGAGAAAAAGAUAUGUUUCACUAUGAAGCUGGGAGGCAUGUGUUGAUGCCAGUUUUUAACACGUGUCAGGGUCGGUGUCAAGAGGAGAAGAAAGUGGCCAAUGCGGUUAAACAAGAGGCCAUGGCUAGAGAAAUCGGUCAGUAAAGCUAUAGUGUUCUGACCGAUUAGCUGAUGAGAUAGAUGAAGACUCACCGAUUGGAAGCCAGAACGCUGGAUUUUGACACGUACUUGAAAUCGGUGUCAAAGAAGGAGAAAGGGGGGCCGAUGCGGCGGACUAGAAGCUACAGUUGGGAAUCGGCCGAUUGAAGCUACAAUGUUUCAGCCGAUUGGCGGAAGAAAUUGGUGGAGGCUGGCCGAUUGGGAGUCAAAGCAGUUUGGCCGGUUUGGGCCUAAGGUGGGCCAGGAUGAAUAUUUGCUGAAGAGACAGGCCCGUGGGAAAAUAAUAACCAACUCGAAUACGAGUCGUGUUUGUAACUAUUUGUUGUCGUUUGAAAUUAGAGAUAGAUUCUAGUCGGUUAGGAAAUCAGUUCCAACACGCUAUAACUAGCUACCUCGAGAGGCUUGUAAAAAAAACAACACAUCAAUCAAUACAAAAAAAAUUACUCUUUCCUCGUACUUUACUUUCAAGUCGGCGACUUCGCCAAAACCUUUUUCUUUCACGAGUUCGUACGGAUUGGCAGGGCUGGAUCUACAGGAUCUCCGGCCGAUUCUGUAAGUUCCACUUAUCGAGUAAUACUAAGCUUUAACUUCGGGCGCAUCGCUGUUAUUUUGUUUAGAUUUAUUCACCAGUUAUCGAUAUCAACUAGAGUCAUAGGUUUUACCUGUUAUUUUAGUUUUUAUCACCAAUUAUCCAUCUUGAGGUACGAACUGUCGGUUUUUAUUAUUCUUAUCCUUUAUCAUCACAUAGCCGAUUAGAUCUACUCCAAGUUUUGCUUCUGUAGUGUUGUUUAGGUUGCUGUAAAAGUUUUCCUUAUGAUUGCUACAUGAGUAUCGGCUGUCUUAUAGCCGGUCAUCUCUACGGUAAAUCGGCCGAUUCGCUGAUACGCUCUUCAAGACAGAUCGGAACUCUAGCCGAUCGAAACCCCUAGAAUUUAAUAUUCUUCUUUCCAUGUCAAUCAUUAGGUCAGAUUGACUGGCAUGCCGCGCGAACCGCACUAGGGCAAUAACUCGAACAGGAGCUAAGUAGAUUCUCCUGGGUCGUGUGUCCGACGCUGAGGGUCAUCGGCCAAUUUUCAGCACCAACACACUUUUGGCAUGCCCGGUGGGACCAAACAAGAUCCAACAUGUCGAAGGCUGCUGAGAUCUUUGAAGAUAACGUCCUUGAAGUCAUUGAAGAAAAUCUCAAGGACGAUCAGAAGGAGGAACUGGCGAGGGCUAUAGAAGAAUACAGGAAGACAUGCCUGCAAUCUUUCAUUCGUACCAGAAGCGGGGAGACAGUCAAGAAAGCUCCUCUCUCCACUUCCCGCCAAAUCACCGUCAUCGAGGACUCAGGGAAGAUGUCUGAGAUGAUUCAACAGUCCGUUUAUCAGGCUAUGAUUGACCAAUCCACGGUGAUGACCAACACUGUAUACAACGCCAUCAUCAGCUCCUUGGUUAGCGGCGUAGCUCAGGGGUAUCAGGGACUAGCGUAUGCUCCUCCCAUCGUGGCACCGAUCAGAGGCUUCUUAGCAGCGCCAAACGUGUGUCACUCGACUCCUCAACUAAUGCAGAUGCAACGUGGAGGGUACUACACUUCAAUGCCCCUGGGGUACAAUGGUGCAUCAUUCUAUCAAUCGCAAGAACCGUCUCAUCCUAUGCCAAUUUCAUCCAUACAAUCGCCGCUCUCAAACUCGGCGCCAUGGGGGGUAGCAGCAGCAACCGCCGGUCUGGAUCCGUCAACCAGUUAUGGAAAGUCUCCAGUCCAGGCGUUAUUCCAAUCGGCCGAGGCCGAUAGCCCCGCAAUACCAAACAACCACUUCAGAUAUCGGCAGGAGGACAGGCGCUCUAGAAACACUCAGGGUUGCGGCGUCGAUAAUAUUGUACGAUGAAGUGACAGAUACACUAUGUCAGCAGCCAUCGGCUACUCAGCCGACAACCCAGCCACAAUAUCUGCAGAACACUCCAGUUUAUCACCCGAUCAUGGAACCGCAAAUCCAACAGCACGUACCGAUUCCUCAGCCGGUCGUGCAUCAGCAGCAGGUUGAUUGGACCGCGAAGAUAGCAGAGGUAAUUCAAGAUCAGUUUGUGUUAAAAGCAAAAGUACAAACUUACAUGUACAAGACGCCAUACCCACUUGCCUACGAUCUGUUACCGUUCCCUCAUCGGUACAAAGUCCUUGACUUCACCAAGUUCUCGGGCCUAGACGACACGUUGACUGUCGAGCACGUUAAUAGGUUCAUCAUCCAGUGCAGGGAGGCUGCUACGCAAGAUGCUUUGAUGGUGCGCUUGUUCUCGUCAUCCCUAUCCGGAUCAGCCUUGCAGUGGUUCACUACACUGCCGCCCAACGCCAUCGUUACCUUGGCCGAUUUGGAAAAGCAAUUCCAUAAGUACUUCUAUGCGGGAAUCCACGAGAUGAAACUCUCAGACCUAACUAGCCUCAAGCAAAGAAGCGAUGAGUCGAUGGCCAGCUACAUACAGAGGUUUAGGAAAGUUAGGAACAAGUGCUACACCUUGGUCUGGACUGACACCCAACUAGCCGAUAUCACCUUCCAAGGACUCCUGCCACACAUCAAAGAGAAGUACGCCUCCCAGGAGUUCGAAAGCUUGAGCCAAAUCGUCCAUCGGCUGUCCGGCCAAGAGAUACACCCUUUCGACCAACGAAGGAACUUUCAAAAGAAGGUAGCUUAUGUGGAAGGGUCUGAAUCGGGAGAGAAGGCGGAAAUCGGCCUAGCAGAGUCGGUAAAAGGAAAAAAGCCGAUAUCAUGCCCGUUUGGAAAAAAGGAACCAGAAACAUUCGGCUUUGACACGUCAAAAGCCGACAAAGUCUUCGACUUGCUGCUUCAAGAGGGGCAGAUCAAACUUUCGCCUUACCACACCAUUCCGUCGGCCAAGCAGCUCAAAAAGAUGAAAUACUGCAAAUGGCACAAUACCACAUCCCAAGACAAAAAUGAGUGCAAGAUCUUCCGACAAUAGAUACAAUUAGCCAUUGAGCAAGGAAGACUCAAGUUCGAGGUUCCAGCAAAACCAGUGAAGCCGAUGAAGAUUGAUCAACAUCCCUUCCCCGCCAACAUGGUCAAUGUAGGAAGAAACGCACUCCAAACCAAAGUUUUGAUGUUAGAAUUGGCCAGGAGAAGCGGUGCAGUGGAUCCCAAAAAUCAGGCCACGAUCGGAGAUGUCAAAGGAAAAGGACGGAUGGAAGAAGAAGGUGAAGGAUCAGAAAGGCCACGUCGGCCUGUCACUUCCCAAGACUUACUCAGCAAGUAUCAGCAGCAGCGGGAAGAUUCAAGACGCCACGAAGAGAUGAUGCGCCGACACGAAGAUCACUGGAGGUGCCCGUUUUUCAUCCACUGCUGGGAGAAUAACCUUAGAUUACCGUCGGCUGAUAAUUGCCCUGAGUGCAACGGCCAGUAUCGCAGUGGUCGUCCGUUCAAUAGAUCACGCUCCAAGGAUCGAGGGCUAGAGCCAAUCAGCAGAAAGAGGCACGAGCAAGGAGAUCGGCGCGUUUCAGUGCGUGAUCGGCUGGGGGGUAGAGUUGACCAGCAUAAUCGGCUGGGGGGCAGAACCAGCGCACAUGAUCGGCUGGGGGGUAGAACCAGCGCACAUGAUCGGCUGGAAGAGAUAGCUGACGCCAAAGUCUCAGAUGAGAACCUCCUAGGGUGAGAAUCAGGCUGGGAGCGUGCAAAGCCGCCGAGUAAACCAGUAAACCCCAGAUGGUGCCCAGCCGGUUUGACUAAGUCCUUGAAACGGAGGGUCCAGCGUUUGCACCAAUGGGAGCAGCAAGAAGAAAAACAAAGGUAGGUGAUGGAUAACAAAGGGGACAGGUCUCGAGUAUGGCGUCCUAGAAGAAAAUCCGACGCAGGAGACUAAAAUCAUGAUUCGACAGCUGACUUCAGCAUGAUGUUCAUCUUGCCGAUGGAGUUCAUGCCUCCCGCCGACCGGGACAAUGCGAUAGAGAUAGAGGAGCAAAUGGCACAAUUGGCUCUGGAGCCAAUGACCGCCACUUUUGAGAAACCCGAGGAUUAAAAACGCCAACAUCUCAAGGCCCUGUUCCUCAAAGGACAUGUCAACGGACGACCAGUCACCAAGCUGUUGGUAGAUGGAGGCGCUGCUGUGAACAUCAUGCCCUAUGCUAUGUUCCGCAAAUUGGGCAAAGGUAAAGAAGAUCUAACAAAGACGGAUAUAAUGCUCAAGGAUUUCGAAGGCAACGUAUCUCCGGCCCGAGGGGCACUCUGCGUCGACCUCACCAUCGGGAGUAAGGCCCUACCCACUAUUUUCUUUGUUAUUAAUGGCAAAGGCUCCUACAACAUGUUGCUCGAGCGAGAUUGGAUCCACGCAAACUGCUGCAUCCUGUCUACGAUGCACCAAUGCCUUGUCCAAUGUGUCGGCGACAACAUCGAAGUAGUCAUCGCCGAUUCCACCUAUAGCGUUGCCACGGCCGACGCACAACAGUGGAGCUACGAUCACGUCAAAUUCAAAUAUGGUAGGGUUUGGGACACCAAUUUCCUAAAGGUGUCCGAUUUCGGUCUACAGCCAAUCCAAGCAGUCAGCUCUAAAGAAUCAAGUUAAAAUGGAUCAGUUCAUCUGAGAAGAUGGGAAGCUCGGGCACGGGUUUACGUCGGCCGAUUCAUUGGAGAUGGUGGACCUUGGAGAUGGCAACAAGCCAAAGCCGACGUAUAUUCGUGCUAGGUUAGAACCCGAGUAUAAGCAUGAAUUAAUGAGUCUUUUACGAGAAUUUAAAGAUUGCUUUGCUUGGGAGUAUCAUGAGAUGCCUGGUCUAGACCGGUCCAUCGUCGAACACCGGUUGCCUAUAAAACCAGGGCAUUGGCCGCAUCAGCAACCUGCACGACGUUGUAAUCCUAAAAUUUUACCUGAUAUAAAGGCCGAGAUUACAAGAUUAAUUGAAGCAGGGUUUAUUCGGCAAUGUCGCUAUGCCGAGUGGAUUUCCAAUAUUGUGCCCGUAUACAAGAAAAAUGGAAAGUUACGUGUGUGCAUUGACUUCAGGAAUGUUAAUCAGGCUAUGUCGAUGGAUGGAUAUCCGAUGCCGAUGGCUGAUGUUUUAAUAGACGCCACCGCAGGACACAAAGUCAUCACCUUCAUGGAUGGUAAUGCUGGGUACAAUCAGAUAUUAAUAGUCGAAUAAGAUAUUUCAAAGACGGCUUUCAGAUGCCCAGGCCACCUCGGUUUGUUCGAGUGGGUAGUAAUGAGUUUCGGUUUAAAAAAUGCUGGAGCUACGUACCAACGGGCUAUGAAUUAUAUAUUCCACAAGCUUAUUUGUGUCCUGGUGGAGAUCUACAUUGACGAUGUCGUGGUCAAAUCAAAAGGGUAUCAGGAACACCUGGCCGAUUUGCGAAAAGUGUUGGAAUGCACAAGAAAGCAUGGGUUGAAGAUGAAUCCAAACAAAGUGUGCCUUCGGCGUUUCGGCUGGACAGUUUCUGGGAUUCAUGAUUCACGAGCGAGGCAUCGAGAUCAAGCGAAAAAUUAUAGUUGCUAUCAACAAAGUCGUGGGCCCCCAGAAUAAGACUGAGCUACAGUACUUAAUCAGCAAGGUUAACUUCAUCCGACGGUUCAUAUCUAACUUGUUCGGGCGUAUUCAAGCUUUCACCCCUUUGUUGAAAUUAAAACCCGAUCAAGAAUUUGUAUAGGGUAAGGAAUAGCAGAAAACAUUAGAUGGCAUCAAACAAUACCUAGUCUCGCCACCAGUAUUGGUUCCGCCGCAGGCCAACAAGCCAUUCAAAUUAUACCUAUUGGCUGAUGAACGAGCUAUUGGGUUGGCGCUGGUCCAGGAAUGUGAAGGAAAAUAAAGAGUAAUCUAUUAUGUCAACAGAAGACUCCUGAACGUUGAAACUAGAUAUCCUCCGGUGGAACGGCUGUGCCUUUGUCUAUAUUUUUCAUGCACCAAACUCAGGCACUAUCUGUUAUCGGCAGAGUGCAUAGUCGUUUGCAAAGAUGAUGUGGUCAAGUACAUGUUGUCAUUGCCGAUUUUGAAAGGGAGGAUUGGAAAGUGGAUUCUAGCUCUCUCAGAGUUCGACCUGAGGUACGAAUCGGCCAAAGCUGUCAAGGGGCAAGUAAUGGCCGAUUUCGUGAUCCAGCACUGUGGACCAGAAAUUACUGUCGAACCAGCUCCGUGGACACUAUACUUUGAUGGGUCUGCGUGUGGGGCCGGAUCGGGAAUCGGCAUCAUCCUCAUAUCGUCUCGAGGGGCAAGUUAUGAUUUCUCUCUGCCGUUUGAGGCGUCCGCUACUAAUAAUCAAGCGGAGUAUCGGGUUGUUCUAAAAGGUAUCCAAUUAUUAAGAGAGGUCAAAGCUGACGUGAUGGAAAUUUUUGAGGAUUCCAUGCUCAUUGUAGAUCAAUUAACUGGAAAGUCUGAAUGCAAGGAUGAUAUCUUGAGGAUUUACUACGAAGAUUGCCUCAAGUUAUUGAAGGAGUUCAAGUCUUUGAUUAUUGAGCAUAUUCCCAGGAAUUACAACGAAGAAGCCAAUAGACUUGCCCAACAUCCUUCCGGGUAUCGGCUGUGUUGACGCCAGAUUUUGACACGAGUAAAAUCGGCGUUAGAAGUGGAAGAAAUUAGGAGAUGCGGCGAGAUACAAGGGCAACGAUUGGAAAUCGGCCGAUUGGUGCUACAGUCAAGGAUCGGUUGGUUGGUGCUGCAGUCAAGGAUCGGCCAAUAGAUGCUACAGACGAGGAUCGGCCGAUUGAUCCUUAGAGUUCCGCCUCGCACGACCCCUGGUUUGGGAUCGGACACGCCCGACCCUCCAAGGGAGGAUCUCCGCCUCGCCCGACCCCUGGUUUGGGAUCGGACGCGCCCGACCCUCCAAGGGAGGAUCUCCGCCUCGCCCGACCCCUGAGGUUUGGGAUCGAACGCGCCCGACCCUCCAAAGGAGGAUCUCCGCCUCGUCCGACCUUAGUUCCCAGGGUCGAAAUGAGUCUGAGCCCUCGAUAUGUGGGUCCUGAUCGGUUACCCCCCUUGCCAAAGAGGUGAUCGGCCGAUUAGGAGGUUGGAAUAGUUGGGCCGAUGUGGGCUCAAGAAGGAUUAUGAAGAUGAAGAGGGGGUCAGCCCAUGAAGCGCGUGAAAAUAGUACGAAUCGUACUUGUAAAUAUUCGUUUUCUGUUUAAAUUUAGGGAUAGAGUUCUAGUCGGAUAAGAAGUCGUUUGUACGGGGCUAUAAAUAGCCACCGUUGUAGAUCUGUAAUCAUCAUCAACUCAAUACAACAAACUACUAUUUCCUCGUACUUACUUUCAAGCAGGCGACUUUACCAACACUUUUUCUCCUUUUUCACGAGUUCGUACGGGUUGGCGGGGCUGCAUCAACUUGACCUCCGGCCGAUCUUGUAAGUUCCGUUUAUCGACUAAAUUCUAAGCUUUAACUUCGGGCGCAUCGCUGUCAUUUCGUUUAGAUUUAUUCAUCAGUUAUCGAUAUUUACUAGAAUUCUAGGUUUUACCUGUUGUUCUAGUUUUAUCACCAAUUAUCCAGCUAGGAAUCGGUAAAUUCGGCUUUCUUUAUACUUCUCUGUCUAAUCUAUUUAUUUUAGCCGAUUAGAUCUGUUCCUAGUGUUGCUACUGUAGCGUUGUUUAGAUUACUCUAGCAGUUUUCUUUAUAAACGUUACCUGGUAAUCGGUUGCACUAUAGCCGAUUUCCUUAUUACGGCAAAUCGGCCGAUUCGCUGAUAAGCUUUCUUGAGAUCGGAACCUUAGCUGAUCGCAACCUCUGGGAACUGACACGUUUAUUUCCUUGCCAAUCAACAGUUCAGAUUGGCUGGCUCGCCGCGCGAACCGUACCAGGGCAAUCACCCGAACAGGAGUUAAGCAGAUUCUCCCGGGUCGUGUGUCCGACGCUGGGAAUUCGGUCAGCUGAUUUCUAGUGCCAACACACUUUUGGCACGCCUAGUGGGGCCAAUACAACCGCCACCAUGUCGAAAGCUGCUGAAGUCUCCGAAGAUAACAUCAUCGAAGUGACAGAGGCAGAUCUCAGGGACGACCAGAAGGAAGAACUAGAGAGGCAGACAGCAUACUACCGGAAGACAUGUCUGCAGUCCUUCAGUCGCACCAGGAGCGAGGAGACUAUCAAAAAGGCUCCGUUUCCAACUCCCCGCCAGAUCACAAUCACCGAGGAUUCGGACAAGAUGUCCGAGAUGGUCCAGCAAUCCGUCUAUCAAGCUUUCAUUGAUCAAUCCCCGGUGCUUUCUAAUACGGUAUACAAUGCCGUCAUCAGCUCCUUGGCUAGUGGUGUAUCUCAAGGGUACCAGGGGCCGGCAUAUGUUCCGCUGAUUAUGGCUCCGAGCAAUGCGGCGACAUGAAGAUCACUGGCGAUGCCCGUUCUUCAUCCACUGUUGGGAAAGCAACCUUAGGUUGCCUUCGGCCGAUAAUUGCCCCGAGUGCAACGGCCCGUAUCGUAACAAUCGGCCGUUCAGCAGGUCUCGCUCCAGAGAUGGGAGAUCAGAGCCGAUCAGCAGGAACUGGCGCGACCAAGACAACCGGCGCCCUCCAGUACGUGAUCGGCUGGGGGGCAGAAGUGACCGGUAUGACCGGUCGGAAGGCAGGCGCAAUGAUGGGCCGGGGGCAGAUUUAAUCGACGUGACCGGCCAGAAAAUAGAGUCAGCGUCCACAGACGACUUGAAUAGAUGGCCGAUGCUCGGGUGUUAGAUGAGAACCCUUUAGGACGCGAACUAGAAUGGGAACGCGCCAGGCCACGAACCAAACCGGUGAACCCCAGGUGGUGCCCCGAUGGAUUGACCAAGUCUCAAAAACGAAGAAUCCAACGUCUCCGCCAGUGGGAACAGCAGGAAGAAGAGCAACAGUACACGACGGACGAGAAGAAAGGCAGGUCUUAGGUAUGGCGCCCCAAAAGAAACGACAGAGGAGGCGACAAAUCAGCAGGCGAUGAAUCGGCAGCCGAUAUCGACAUGGUCUUCAUACUGCCGAUGGAAUUCAUGACUCCUGCCGACCAACAGGACAUGUCAGCAAUAGAAGAGUAGAUGGCGCAAUUGGCUUUGGAGCCAAUGACAGCCACAUUCGAGAAGCCCGAAGAAGACAAACGGCAACACCUGAAAGCGUUGUUUCUUAAAGGGCAUGUCAACGGCCGACCCAUCACCAGAUUACUGGUAGACAGAGGGGCUGCAGUCAACAUCAUGCCGUACGCCAUGUUCCGGAAGCUAGGGAAGAGCAAUGAUGACCUGACCAAGACAGACAUGAUGCUCAAGGACUUCGAGGGCAACGUAUCCCCCGCUCACGGCGCUCUCUGCGUCGACCUCACCAUCGGCAGUAAGACCCUUCCUACUACUUUCUUUAUUAUUAAUGGCAAGGGGUCCUACAACAUGCUACUCGGCCGAGACUGGAUACAUGCAAAUUGCUGUAUCCCAUCUACAAUGCAUCAAUGCCUCGUAUAGUGGGUCGGCGACAACAUUGAGGUGGUCACCGCCGAUUCCGCAUACAGCAUCGCGGCAGCCGACACGCAACAGUGGAGCUGCGAAACCGUCAAGUGCAUAUCCGGGAGAGUAUGGGAUACUGACUUCUUGAAGGUGUCCGAUUUUGGCCUACAGCCGAUCCGAGCAGUCGGCUCUGAGGACUCAGAUUAAAUGGAUCAGUUCACCCGAGAAGAUGGGAAGCUGGGACAUGGGUUCACGUCGGCCGAUUCAUUAGAAAUGAUAGACUUAGGCGAUGGCACCAUACCAAGGCCGACAUAUAUUAGUGCAAAUUUAGAUCCGGAAUACAAAUGUAAACUGACAAGUUUGUUAAGAGAACUUAAGGAUUGCUUUGCUUGGGAAUAUCAUGAGAUGCCCGGAUUAGACCGAUCUAUCGUUGAACAUCGGUUACCCAUAAAGCCAGGGUAUCGGCCGUAUCAACAGCCUGCACGGCGGUGCAAUCCUAAAAUCCUACCGGACAUAAAGGCCAAAAUAACGCGGCUAAUCAAAGCAAAAUUUAUUCGGCAAUGCCGUUAUGCCGAAUGGAUCUCCAACAUUGUACCAGUAUAUAAGAAGAACGGAAAGUUACGCGUAUGCGUCGAUUUCAGGAACCUCAAUCAGGCCACACCAAUGGACGGAUACCCCAUGCCGACGGCUGAUGUACUGAUAGAUGCCGCCGCGGGACACAAGGUUAUUAGUUUCAUGGAUGGAAACGCUGGGUACAAUCAGAUACUUAUGGCCGAAGAAGACAUAUCUAAAACGGCCUUCAGAUGCCCGGGUCACCUUGGUUUAUUCGAGUGGGUGGUAAUGACUUUCGGCUUGAAAAAUGUCGGCGCUACGUAUCAGAGAGUCAUGAACUACAUAUUCCACAAACUUAUCGGCAUACUAGUAGAAAUCUACAUCGACGACGUCGUAGUCAAGUCAAAAGGACACCAGGAGCAUCUGGCCGAUUUACGACAGGUGUUGGAAUGCACUAAGAAACAUGGGCUGAAGAUGAACCCGAAUAAGUGUGCCUUCGGCGUAUCCGCCGGACAAUUCUUAGGAUUCAUGGUGCACGAGCGGGGAAUAGAAAUCAAUCAGAAGACUAUAGCGGCCAUCAACAAAAUUGUGGCCCCGCAGAAUAAAACUGAGCUGCAAUCUCUAAUCGACAAGAUGAAUUUCAUCAGGAGGUUCAUAUCUAAUUUGUCUGGGCGAAUCCAAGCCUUCACACCAUUAUUAAAGUUGAAGCCCGACCAGGAGUUCGUAUGGGGGGAAGAGCAACGCAAGGCAUUGGAAGAUAUCAAGCAGUACUUGGUCUCACCACCGGUAUUGGUCCCUCCUCAAACUGGUAAGCCGUUUAAACUAUAUUUAUCAGCCGAUGAACGAGCUAUUGGGUCGGCUCUGGUCCAGGAGUUCGAGGGAAAGGAACGAGUAAUUUAUUAUGUCAGUAGAAGACUUCUGGACGCCGAAACAAGGUAUCCUCCAGUGGAGCGGUUGUGCCUAUGCCUUUACUUCUCAUGUACCAAACUCAGGCACUAUUUGCUAUCAGCGGAAUGUGUGGUCGUAUGCAAGGACGACGUGGUAAAAUACAUGCUGUCACUGCCGAUUUUGAAAGGAUGGAUCGAAAAAUGGAUCUUGGCUUUGUCGGAGUUUGACCUUCGAUAUGAAUCGGCAAAAGCCGUUAAGGGUCAGGUCAUGGCCGAUUUCGUUGCCCAGCACUGCGGGCCAGAGGCUACCUUCGUAGAACCAGUACCUUGGACCUUAUACUUUGAUGGAUCGUCAUGUGGGGCCGGAUCAGGAAUCGGCAUCGUCCUCAUAUCGCCUCGGGGGGCAAGCUAUGAUUUCUCUCUACCGAUAGAAGCAUCCACCACUAACAAUCAAGCAGAGUACUGAGCUGUACUGAAGGGAUUACAAUUGCUAAGGGAAGUCAAAGCUGAUUCCGUCGAAAUUUUUGGGGAUUCCAUGCUUAUCGUGGAUCAGUUAACAGGGAAAUCCGAGUGCAAGGACGAUGUAUUGAGGAUUUAUUACGAAGAUUGCCUCCUGCUUCUGAAAGAAUUCAAGUCGGCAGUUAUCGAGCACAUCCCAAGGAAUCACAACGAGGAUGCCAACAAGCUCGCCCAACACGCAUCUGGGUAUCGGCCGAUUCAAGGCGCCUUGGCUCUAGAGCUCGCGGCCAAUGACUGGCGAAAGGAGAUUGCCGAUUACCUGAAAGAUCCGUCUAAGAAAGUGGAUCGGCGGGUAUGUUUUCAUGCUACCAAAUAUGUGCUACUGGAAGACGACUUGUUCUACCGAACAAUUGAUGGCGUCCUACUCAAGUGUCUAGGAACGGAGGAGGCUAAGACUCUGAUGGGAGAAAUCCAUGAAGGAGUGUGUGGAGCCCACCAAUCGGCACAUAAGAUGAAAUGGAUGAUUAGGAAUAAUGGGUAUUACUGGCCGACGAUCCUCGAAGAUUGCUUCAAAUAUUAUAAAGGAUGUCAGGAUUGUCAGAAAUUCGGGAAUGUCCAACGUGCGCCCGCAUCGGCCAUGAAUCCCAUUAUCAAACCAUGGCCGUUCAGAGGUUGGGGGAUAGACCUCAUCGGCCAAAUUUAUCCUCCGUCAAGCAAAGGGCACAAGUUCAUUCUGGUGGCCACUGAUUAUUUCACCAAGUGGGUGGAGGCAAUUCCGUUAAGGGCCGUGACAUCGGCUGCUAUGGUUGACUUCGUAAGAGACCAUAUCGUCUACCGUUUCGGCAUCCCCCAGACUAUCACGACCGAUCAAGGGACAAUGUUUACAUCAGGAGAAUUCGAGGAGUUCACAGCCGACAUGGGAAUCAAAUUAUUAAACUCCUCUCCGUAUUAUGCCCAAGCUAAUGGCCAGGUCGAAUCUUCCAACAAGGGGAUAAUUAAGUUAAUCAAGAGGAAGAUAGAGGAGCAGCCGAAAAAGUGGCAUCUAUGUCUGACUGAAGCUCUAUGGGCAUACAGGAUGGCUUGCCAUGGGGCCACUAAGAUGUCCCCUUAUCAGUUGGUGUACGGUCACGAGGCAGUACUACCAUGGGAGUUGAGGGCAGGAUCGAGACGCACUUCGCUCCAGGACCAGUUAGCGGCCGACGACUACUCCUCACUCAUGAAAAGGGAACUUGAUGACUUGGCUGGCCAACGAUUGAGAGCUUUGAUAAGCAUCAAAGAAAACAAGAAGAAAGUGGCCAGGUGGUAUGAUAAGAAAGUCAAAGUCAAACAAUUCUCUCCGGGGGACCUGGUAUGGAAGUUAGUGUUGCCGAUCGGGUCGAAAGAUCCUAAAUUCGGUAAGUGGUCCCCUACGUGGGAAGAGCCGUAUAAAAUCGGCAGAUGUGCUCCAGGAAACGCUUAUAUUCUGGAAACAAUCGAAGGAGAGAAGAGUUUACUAGGGCUUUGAACGGAAGAUACUUGAAAAGGUACUACCCUAGUAUAUGGGUCGGAGCAUAAGGAUCGACCAUGAUGAACAACACACAGCCAAUACAAAAGGAUUCGUCUAGAGAAAAAAACGUAAUCGUCCAAAUCGGCCGAUGUAUUUCAUUCGGUACGGACGGUGGGUUACACGGCCGACAAGGUACAAGUUGCCCUUAGAACAAAAAAAAAUUAAUCACGCUUUUUCUUAAGCUCUCUCUCAGCCCGACCUAGUUCUAUCAGAAGACGGAUGUACUCUUCUUUUAUCUCUUUCAUCGAAGCCUCCGCUUCGACUUGACGGGGGAGAGGGUGACUCCGGUCCAUGGCCGGGCGUGAUGUUCCUACUGCUGCAUCUUCAAGGACGAUUUGAUGAGGAAGCGGAUGACUUCUGUCGGCUUGAGGUCGCCGGUGGUCGUUGCUGUCCAGAAAGUCCCAGAUCCAUCGGAUGUCGGCAGGGACGUGCUCUUGGAGUUCGUCGCGAUGAGCUCUGAUUAAAUCCUUAUCUUCUUGCGACAACGGUUCAUCGGAGUGUACAAGUCCGAUGGCUCGUUCGAGUUCGGGGCUAAGGCGCCGUGGCUGCGGAAAGCAACAAUAUACAUAUAGCUGCCGAAAAGGUGAUUCCCUUCAGAAGAGCUAAACUAAGAAAGAGAAUGAAGGCAAAUCUUUUACCUGAUUAACGGAGGAAGAGGUAGAGGAUGGAGAAGACAUGACUGAAAGGCGCACCGACGUGAACAGGUCGAGGAAGAUGAAGCCGAGUUAGAAAGGUACUCUCGGAACGGUCACCUAGGCCGGUGUUUAUAGGAAAGGAAGGCAUGGAUGUUUGGUAAGACGCGUCCCAUCGGGAGUGUGAAAGGUAAUAAAUAAGGGGGCGUCGCGAAGGACGGUCAAAGGGAUCAUUAAAUGUUCGUACAAGAACUGCCAGCACUUUUACAGGUCACCCAGAAGGGCAUCGAUAGCUGCGAUCGCUCGACGCCGGAUCUGAUCGGCAGAGUCCAGGACCCGUUGGUCAUCCUCUGCCGAUCCGGGGACUUCUAACAUAUGGCGGUGGAGUUUGAGGGCCUCGUGAGCCAGAUGCUGCCUCUCUCGUUUCAGAUCGGCAAUGACAGAAGGGAGUUCCUGAAGCCUCUUCUCUUCGGCGUCUAUUGCUUUGGUCACCUGCUCCAUCUCCUUGGCAAGCUCUGCCCUUCGGCGUUUGAGGCGAUCUAUCGUGCCGACGAUCCCCGGGCGAGAGUCUUCCAGAAAGUGAAUCCGUUGAUGCACCUCUUGAGCUUGACGCUUGUACGUGUCUUCUUCUUCACGAGUUUUGGUCAACUUGACGCGAUCGGCCAUGUGGCGCAGGGCCCUAAAGACUGGAAUCCUCAUUGACUCGAUAUAUGCAGCUGGCGCCAAGGCCUCUUCCGCUUCUUCUGGUACUCGCCCGCUGACGUCACCAAAAAGUUGUUGAAUCAGCGAAGCGUCUUCUACCAAUCGGCCGAUGUCCUCUUGAAGAAGGGAUCGGAUGCUUGCGAGUUUGGCACGGACGUCAUCAGGAACGGAGCUCAAAGUGACCUGGCGAGAGGCGACUUCCUCAUCAUCGGAGAGUGCGACCGCAAACGAGAAAAGGCUGUUGUUGGGGGUGUCCUGUUCCUGAAAAAUAGUGAGUCAAGAAGAAGAACAAAUCAGCCGAUGAUGAUAGCAAAUCGGCUGAGUAAGGGUGAGAAAUCUCUUACCUCCUUGAAACGGAUUUCUUCAAACUGCGUUUGGGAGGCUGUUAUCCUCGAUUCAGGGGCUGGUACCAUUGGUUCGUCAGAAGCUGAAGACUCCACCAUGAUUGGUGCUUUGCUCGGGCCAGCUUCCCGAAAGAUGACCAUUGGUUGGUUAGGUGGGGCGCUAAGCGUACCGGUGACCUGUGUCAAAAGAUUGAAUAAGAAUAUUAUCCAAAUACUAGAAAAAUCGGUUGAAGAGUAGUAUACCUCGGCAGACGGAAGCGUGGGCGUGUUGAUGACCGAUUGGGUUGCUGCCGAUUGUUGUGAGUCCACAGAAGUGAUUUGUGUAGUCUAAAAUAAGAUGAGUCAGUAUAGAGAUGGCAAUCGGUAGGAUCAAACAACAAGUUUACCUGCAUGGCCUCCACCAGUAAUGAUGCAGCGGCCGCCCCAGCUUGCGUGACGACUUGAGUAUCUACUUCUCCAGCAGCUGGAAGGGGCAAUGUGGCCGAAGUUUCUGCCGAUGUGAUCGUAGGAGGGUCGGCCGGUUCUGUACGAGCUCGCACUCGGCGACUGGUCUUCUUGGUAACCUUCUUCUGCGCCUGCUUCGAUCGGCCGGCAAUCACAUCCACGGAAGGGGCAUCGUAGCCGAUAAGGGGGAAGAUGGUGUAUAGGUGAUGGUCCUCUAUCGGCCGGCCACUCCGACUGUGUGUUGGGGGAACGCAGUUUUCAGACUGAAGCAACAGCAAGAUGUUAGUGUACAUAUUUAACCGCAUUAAUAAAGGAAUGAAAAUCAGUUAGGGAAAAAAAAUACCUCGGUGUUCGGAUCGAUGUUGGCUGGAUCCAGGAGGUUGCAGUAUGUCGAUGCGGAGGCACAGAAUAGGUACUGUUUUCAUUCGGCCCACCAUAGCUUGAAUGGUUGGACAACAAAGGGGGCUACUAUCCAGUCAUUCAAGUCUAUGGUACUGGAGUCUGGUAUCCGGUCUCGCAGCCGACUAUAGUCAAGACCCUUGGUGAGCUCAUCUCUGAACUUUGCUCGGCCGACGAAGUAUGCCUGAAUCGGCAGUUGACCCAUGCCGAAUUGCCGAGCUGCAACGGAGGGAUUGUAGAAUUCAUAUGUAGGGGCAUCCUUUCCUGAGAAGAAGUUGGCCGGUAAGAUCCCCGGUUUAAUUAGUUCAUCUGUGAGAUCUUCGUCGAAUCAGCCGGUGGUUGAGUCGAAGCAAGAAGGGAGUUCAAAGAUUGGGUCAUCUCUCCAAUAAGGAAACCAGACGGUUGCAUCUUCAUUGAAGCCGUUAUAAAAACACUGGAAGUAUUCGGCCACCUUGGUAGCAGAGUACGAGCAACCAGAGAAGGCCGAUGCCGCUUCGCCGAAAGACAUACACCGGCGUCGGACAGUGAGAUUCUCUGCCGAUUCGACGCUGGGGAAUGUCAUGUGUUCCACUCGCUGCUGAGAGAUCUCGCUCAUGUACAAGUUCAGCCAUAAGUUAAUGAACCACCAGGGUCCACCUGGGUUUCCAAUUGGCUACCCUUGGGAUAGCUUGAUGCCGAUUUGGUGAAGCAUGUGGUAGGCUGCUCCCAGUAAGUGCUUUCCAAGAGGAACAGAAGUCCCUAUUGAUAAUGCUUCGGCCAGAGCUUGGGUAUUGGUAGAUGGACCAGCUGCUCUCCCACAGAAGAAGUGCUUCUCUAGCCACAUCAUCAGGAAGGCCGUGUGCUCUCUGUUGUCGACAGAUCCGGCCCUUUUGUUGCAUCUGAUGAAACCUUUCCACCUGCCGAUUCCCCUUGUGUCCAGCCGAUGUGAUGUUGCGGUUAUAAGGCGGAAAGGGGUGUCCGGGGAAGAAAUAUCCAGGCCGGUCAGGAAGACUACAUCGGCCAAUGUGGGGGUCAUGGGUCCGUGUCCAAACAGGAAUGCGUUGAGAGCAUUGGACCAGAAGUAAGAAGCUGCCACCACUAAUGGCUCAUUCCGUUCCAUUUGGGACAAAGAUAGAUCGAUGCAUUGGCCAAUUUUGAGCUCGUCCCAUUGGACCUUCUUGGAAGCGGUUAUCCGCUGGUACCAUUCCCUCCAACUGGGAGUUUCGUUCGGCCAAGACCUAAAGGUACUCAACCAGUGAUCUAGGUCCAUAGUUGAUUGUUUGAAGGGGAUCCUAUGGGUUUUCCAAAUUGAUUAAGUCGGUUGGAUCUGGAUUUCCCAUGGGUCCAAGACAGAUAAGGCCGAGGUUUUCUGUGAGACGAAUGGUGAUGCGAUGCCUAACCGCCUAAAAAGGAAAAGGGGGUGCGAGGGUAAGAAAUAGAUCUAAAGUACAUGCAUUACUAAUAAGGGAAAGUUUCGGUAAUGACCUCCGGGAUGAAGCUCCUCGUAAUCGGCGGAGUCGCCGGUGCAGCUGCAGACGAUGAAGCUGCCAAUGGGAUCUCGGAUGAAGCUUCAACUUUCGCCAAUGGAGCUCCUUCUUCCGUCGAUGGAGCCGUCGUUAUCGCUACUGGAACCUCCGCCGAAGGCACCAUUUCUGGAGCUUCGCGCAUUGGUGAGGUGCCUGAAGGUGCCGCCAUUGGAAAAGUAGGAGGCAAUGCGAAAGGAAGGAGGCGCUGGAGAAUUGGUGGACUAAGGAAAGUGUUGGAGGAAGAAGAAAGCCUGUGCACUGAAGAAGAUGGACAUGAGCUCGUAAGGAGUACGGGAUGUGCUGAUAUUUAAAGAACGUCUGAGAAGGGGUAAAAGUGGAAUUUUUACCGCGCUGGCGUUUUGAGUUUUUCGGGAGUAGUGGUUGUCGUGGGCACCCGUUUCGAAAAGAUUGCAAUCAUCAGGUUGGAGACCGCGAAAUGGAAGGAUGUUUUCAUUGCGUCUGUUUCGGAUGAGAAGUUGAAAAGAAUUUUGAAGUAAAGACUAUGUUUUACUCCGAAACUGGGAGGCAUGUGUUGACGCCAGAUUUUGACACGAGUAAAAUCGGCGUUAGAAAUGGAAUAAAUUAGGAGAUGCGGCGAGAUACAAGGGCGACGAUUGGAAAUCGGCCGAUUGGUGCUACAGUCAAGGAUCGGUUGGUUGGUGCUGCAGUCAAGGAUCGGCCAAUUGAUGCUACAGAUGAGGAUCGACCGAUUGAUCCUUGGAGUUCCGCCUCGCCCAACCCCUGGUUUGGGAUCGGACGCGCCCGACCCUCCAAGGGAGGAUCUCCGCCUCGCCCGACCCCUGGUUUGGGAUCGGACGCGCCCGACCCUCCAAGGGAGGAUCUCCGCCUCGCCCGACCCCUGAGGUUUGGGAUCGGACGCGCCCGACCCUCCAAAGGAGGAUCUCCGCCUCGUCCGACCUUAGUUCCCAGGGUCGAAAUGAGUCUGAGCCCUCGAUAUGUGGGUCCUGAUCGGUUACCCCCUUGCCAAAGAGGUGAUCGGCCGAUUAGGAGGUUGGAAUAGUUGGGCCGAUGUGGGCUCAAGAAGGAUUAUGAAGAUGAAGAGGGGGUCAGCCCAUGAAGCGCGUGAAAAUAGUACGAAUCGUACUUGUAAAUAUUCGUUUUCUGUUUAAAUUUAGGGAUAGAGUUCUAGUCGGAUAAGAAGUCGUUCGUACGGGGCUAUAAAUAGCCACCGUUGUAGAUCUGUAAUCAUCAUCAACUCAAUACAACAAACUACUAUUUCCUCGUACUUACUUUCAAGCAGGCGACUUUACCAACACUUUUUCUCCUUUUUCACGAGUUCAUACGGGUUGGCGGGGCUGCAUCAACUUGACCUCCGGCCGAUCUUGUAAGUUCCGUUUAUCGACUAAAUUCUAAGCUUUAACUUCGGGCGCAUCGCUGUCGUUUCGUUUAGAUUUAUUCAUCAGUUAUCGAUAUUUACUAGAAUUCUAGGUUUUACCUGUUGUUCUAGUUUUAUCACCAAUUAUCCAGCUAGGAAUCGGUAAAUUCGGCUUUCUUUAUACUUCUCUGUCUAAUCUAUUUAUUUUAGCCGAUUAGAUCUGUUCCUAGUGUUGCUACUGUAGCGUUGUUUAGAUUACUCUAGCAGUUUUCUUUAUAAACGUUACCUGGUAAUCGGUUGCACUAUAGCCGAUUUCCUUAUUACGGCAAAUCGGCCGAUUCGCUGAUAAGCUUUCUUGAGACCGGAACCUUAGCCGAUCGCAACCUCUGGGAACUGACAUGUUUAUUUCCUUGCCAAUCAACAGGUCAGAUUGGCUGGCACGCCGCGCGAACCGCACCAGGGCAAUCACCCGAACAGGAGUUAAGCAGAUUCUCCCGGGUCGUGUGUCCGACGCUGGAAAUUCGGUCAGCUGAUUUCUAGCGCCAACAGGCUCAUUUAUGUCGCCUGACACGCGAAUAUGCACUUUAACCAAGUCAACCUGGUCGACCGUCGGAUUUCAUCCGAUGAACCACUUACACAGGAUCAAGAAGCAUCGCUCAAACGAAGGUGAGUAGCACAGAGGUUACAACAUUCCAUUAUGACAACUUAGUUCCACAAUUUAUUACAUCAGAGUUUCAGAAAUUCAAACAAGUUGCAAGGUUCGAAAAGUCGGAUAAAACAAGCGAAAACUAAACGUCGAUACAGGAUAUCAUGACGAAGUUGAUCAUGACAUCAAAAAUCCCUACCCUCACCGUCCGAGGAGGGAUCCCACUCGAUUGUCCAGCCCGGAGGGAGCUGGGUAGGCCAAGUGGUGCCAGCAACCAAACUAUUGACAUGACCUGAAAAGAUUAAGCCAUAACAAGGCUGAGCAACUAAUACUCAGCAAGACUGACCCGUCGAGUGAAAAGCUUUACCAAGACCUAGACAUGCAAGGCUUUCUGGCUCUGGGAUUACUUUGCCAAAAGCAUCUACAGUCGGUCCUUACUUUCAAUAUUUUAGCUUAAGUUCUACGUUCUUUAACCAGUCUAGAUUAGCAACUUAUACUAAACAAGCAUAAUUUCCAAGUAGUUAAAUAACAAGCAUCAACUUAAUCUCAUAAUCAUGUUUCAUCGUUACUCAGUGCAGAAUAGCGAUCAAGUAGUCCCAAACUGUGAGAGACAGAUGAAUCGAUUCGAAUUUAUUAACCAUGCAUGGCGAACCUAAUCUCACGACAUCCGCGCACCACGAAGGGUCGCUUCAUUUGUCAGCCGUCCCCAUCGAUCCCUUAGGCACGUGUCAGGGCCAAACUGCCUUUGGCGUGCAAUGCUCCACAGUCCCGACCUCUGUCGUACUGUGACCGCCACUGCACCCACAUGAUGCACCAUGGGAACGACGUUCCAAGGACAGCAGGAGUAUAAGCCACGUCCCAGUUCAGUCAGGUACUAGGCUUCCCCAUCCCAGACUAGGUAUGAGAUUAGUACUUUCAAACACUUGAUCACGAACGCUGACACGUUUCAACCUUAGAUCAAUUUCCUUUAGACAGACGGGGAAAACCACCAAGUAUCGAACAUAAGCCCGACCCCGUCCGUCAUCCUUAUAGUUGCAACAUAAAUAAACAUUCAACUCCUAUAACUCGCGAGUGAUAGGAAAUCACUCGACUUUUACUGAAACCUAAUAAGCAUUGCAACUACUCGACUUUAGCAACUAGUAUUCAAACAAGGUACUAAGUUCAUGCAUCUACGGUUUCAAUCAACUCCUACACACGUAAAUGCGCAAACAUAAACAUCAACAUGUUGCAUAAAGUAAAACAGGGAAGUCAUGCACCGGGGCUUGCCGUCAGGAAGAGUUAGCGGGUCCUCGGGGUCUUGAUCCGGCUCAGGCUCGCCUUCCAAGUGGUGAAGCUCCGCAGCGGGGUCUUCCUCCGGUGUCGGGUGGAGCUCGUAGGUUCCAUCGGCGAGAUUUGCUUCUAUACGACAUGCAUAUGCAAAAGUUUAGUUGGACUCACGCGUUUAUUCAACGACACAAGGCUUGGCUUAAGACAAGGAGUUGCAACAGCCACAUUCACUUUGACGAGGUUCAACUUUCAUGCAACUUCAAACGAAUGUGGUCGGUUUAAACUUGAGUUCGAGUUGAAUGGCGAUUGUGUACAUAUAUAGUUUUCUUACACUUAGAGUUGCAUAAAGAGAAUGAAAGGUCGUGUUUGGGUGGUUUGGGUGCAUUAGGAUAGUUACUUACUUCUGAAUGUUUUUAUGUACCUCUUUCAAUUUCCACUUAUUUAUCGUAUUAGAAUUUGUGCUUUCCUUUUAUUCCUUUAGGUUGAUUAAUUAACCAAAAUGACUUCAUAUCCAAACAGCAGCUAAAGGCACUGAUAAAAUUACAACACCUCACUUAAGCCAUAGCUGGGUUACUCUAAAAUUUUGGGGGCCAUUGGAUGACUUAAAAAGGAAUUACAUGCAUUUUAUUAUUAAAGGUAAAAUGAGCUUAACUUUUUCUAUCUUCAAAGUUACUAUGCAACAGAGGGUGAAACUUAACCAGUGUGUUAAGGGUAUGUUACAGGAUCUUUGGCGAAUUUUUCAUAAUUUUUGAAGAAGGUUAACUAUUUACUCUAUUUCCUUUUUAAUUAAACAUGCUUAGCAAGGAAGGUGUUUUUUCUUUCCGAAUUGCACAACAAUUUACAUUUUUCCUGCAAACUUCACAGCAAAACAAAAUUAACCCAACUAGUUUCACAUUUUUUUGAGCUCUGGAUCAAAACGUAUGCAAAAAGGAAGAAUUAAUCUUAGAUUCCCAAAUUAAAGUCAAAACAAUGACUUAAAGUGCUAGACCAGAGCCCUAACCAUUUUUCUGAGCUUCUACACAUAGAAACAAGCAUCACAGAGUUGGUUUUACAUUUUUCCCACUUUUCUUCUAUUUAAUAGGAUUAAAAAGGCCUAAACCAUGAUUAAAAGCAUAUGAUAUUAUUUACAACAGUAACAUGAGCAAACUUAUUUUUCUUAGGAACUAGAUAGAGCAAGGAUUCCAACAAAAGUGGUUUGGUAUUUUUAUGAUUUUUCUACGAUUUACUGGGCAUUUACAAAGUUCAACCAUAUUUCUACCUAUUAUUUAAAAGAAAAGCCGUGGCAAACUUGCAGGUUAGCCCCUGGGUCUAUGGGUUAACUACGCAGAGGUCCCUGAGUUUUGCGCCCAGGCCCCUGGAAAGAAUGGGGAUGAUGCAAUGUAGUCCCCAGGGCGCGCGCGGCGGCGGCGAGGAAAUCCCCGGCGGUUCGUCGGCGGGGAUGGGGCAACAAGUGGUCGGAGGGGUGCGGGGGCUCACCUGAGCUCGGUUUGGUGGGGUUGGGGCGACGGAGAUGGUCGGUAGGGAUCAAAACACGGCGGCGGCGACAGAGCUUGGCUGGUGGCGGUGCAGGCGUCGUUCCGGCGCACUGGCGGCGUCGGGGAGGCCACGGGCUGCUCGGAGACGUGCGCGGAGGGGGGGCGAAGUGGGCGGCGAAGUUGCCGGAGUACGGGGUGGCGCGGAGGGGUGAGCUCCACGGGAGCUUAGCGGCGGCGCUGAGAAGGAAGCAGAGGCGUGGUUGCGAGCGGUGGCAAAGGGUGGCAUUGCCGGUGAGGGGGACCCUUUUAUAGGGCAGCGGUGGAGCGGAGGGUCGAGGUGGGGCUCCGGUGGAGGAAGGAUAAGGCCGGGAGCGGUGCGUGCGCGAGCGAGGCGGCCAUUGGCCAGCGGUGCCAUUGGGCAGGGGAGGCGGAGCUCCGGGUGGUCUCUGGCCGCGAUUGGCCUCGAGCGAUGCGUGUCUGAGGCCUCCGGUCUGUCGGCGGGCGAAGCGGAGGGCCACCGCGGGGGUUGGGCGAGCGGGCGGAGGCGCGGGACGUCGUUGGCGUGGUGGCUUCUCCAGCGGGUGGGCGAAGCGCGGUUGGGCAGAGCAGAGCCGCGGCAGAGGGAAGGGCACGCGCGCGGCCGACGGUUGGCCAGCCCGGCGUUCGCCCCGUCUUGUCGCAGGCGCGGGUUGGGCGCCGUGGCUCUCACCUUAUCGUUGUCUCGCCGGGGAUAGGGCGCCGGUGAGCUGCCGGUGGCCAGCGGCCACGAGGCACGCGGUGCGCGGGCGAACAUGCCCUGGCGCGCGGGCGUUGAGGCCCCUUCGGGCAGUAAGCCCGACCAGCUUUGAGAGAUCCUAUCUCAAGAUUUUGCAACACAACUUCCAAAACUCUUCUAAACAAACUUGUUCAACUCUGGACGUAGUUCAAACUUGGUUUAAGGUGCUGGUUUAGAUUGUGAAAGGAUUUGGAGAUAUCUCAUGCCAAAGUUUGCCAAAAAUAUGGAAAUCCAGACUUAGCCAAUUUUGGCCGGAGAGGUGGAAUUUCAGGAACUUAGCUAUGUUUGAGUCAACUUUAGGGCAGCUUCCAAGUUGAAUUAGACAGAAGUGUUAAUAGAGGAGUUGCUCUCCAAACUGAGGACUUCAACUUCUAUUUAGGGUAUUUCUGGAGUUUAGUUCAGAAAUUUGGAGGAACGCCCUCGCCAAGAGGUGCACUCUGAGCAGUUUUCCAGACUUAGCGUUGUGGUGCUCAGGGGCUGAGUUGACUGCUUUGCUCAACUUUGACCAAGAUUUUGAACAGGUUCUGGUUCGAUUUGGACCUGGGUCAUUGUAACAAACUUGGAAAACACUUGAGGUAUUACAACCUUUAUUAAGAGCCUGACUUGAGUUUAGAUAUGAAAUCGUGAGAUAAAGGCUUGCAAAGUUGGAGGAAAACUUGAAUUCCACGACUUGGAGGUUUAUAGGGUUCUUUAUUAUUCCGGUUUUGAUUCCUGUUUUUGACUUCCUCCCACUCCGAAUUAGCCAAAGUGACUUUAACAAAUAUUGUUUGAAAUUAAAAGUGUUACAACUCUUAUUUGGGCAAAAUUUUAAGUUUGUAUAUAAAAUCUCAAGUUUUAUUUUAAACUCCAUAAAGAGCUUCUUAGGGUUAAAAUGGUCAUUUCACUUCCUUUACUUAGUGAUUAACCACUGGUUUAUAUUUAAAGCACUUAAUUUAGGUAGAGUUGUUACAAGUAUCCACUCACUACUUUACCAAAUGGGUGCAGGCAGUCCCUCUGAAGACCGUGACGUUGGCCGUCAUGAUUGAAUUCAUAAGCGAGCACAUUAUCUAUUGGUUUGGUAUUCCUCAGACUGUUACGACCGAUCAGAGAACAAUGUUUACUUCAGGAGAGUUUGAGGAGUUCACUUCCGAUAUGGAAAUUAAGUUGUUAAAUUCUUCUCCAUAUUACGUUCAAGCUAAUGGUCAGACCGAAUCGUCCAAUAAAGGGAUAAUCAAGUGUAUCAAGAGGAAGGUAGAGGAGCAACCAAAGAGAUGGCACAUGACUUUAAGCGAGUCUUUGUGGGCCUACAGGAUGGCCUGCCACGGCGCUACUAAGGUGUCUCCUUAUCAAUUAGUGUAUGGAUAUGAGGCGGUGCUCCCUUAGGAAUUGAGGAUGGGGUCUAGACGCACGUCGAUUCAAGAUUAGUUGACAGCCGACGAUUAUUCUCUCCUUAUGAAAGGGGAGCUUGAGGAUUUGGUGGGUCAACGAUUGAGGGCCUUGAUCAGUAUUGAAGAGAAUAAGAAAAGACUUGCCAAGUGGUAUGACAAGAAGGUCAAGGUCAAGCAGUUCUCGCAAGGGGAUUUGGUAUGGAAAUUGGUAUUGCCGAUAGGGUCUAACCAUCCCAAAUACGGCUAGUGGUCGCCUACUUGGGAAGGGUCGUAUAAAUCGAUCGAUAUGUGCCAGGAAAUGCAUACGUAUUAGAGACCAUCGAGGGAGAGGAAUUUACAAGAGCCUUAAAUGGGAGAUAUUUGAAAAGAUACUAUCCCAGCAUAUGAGUGGACGCGUAGCCGAUGAUAUAGUGUAUCGAGUCGUUAUGGCCGAUUCCUAUUGACUCGUGUUUAUAUAGCCGAUGCAGGGAGGCAUCGCCUUGAGGACGAAACCUCUAAUCAAAUUGGCCGAUUAUUAUUCGGUACGGUGAUUGGAUACAUGGCCAACAUGGUACAAGUCGCCCUUAGACCAAAAGUACCAAUACAUCUAUCGGGUUACAAUAUGAUUAACUGCAUUUCAACUGGGCUUUGUUUUUAUUGAUCUCUCUUUGGACCCGGCCUAGUUCUAUUAAGAGACGGGUGCUCUUUUCCUCCCUAUCCGCCAUGGCAUCUUUGAGAGCGACCUGGCAGGGUAGCUGAUGACUCCUCUCAAUUGGCGGCUGAGGUGGCUCCCUGGAGCUGUUGGCUUCGAUGUGAUCCACGAUCUUCUUAAUGUGGGUCGGAAGAUGGUCUUUAAGCUCCUCACGGUGGGCUUUGAUCAGGUCUUGGUCCACCUGCAUCAGUGGUUCCUCAGAGUGCAUAAUUUCGAUAACUCGCUCAAGAUCAGGGCUGAGCCGGGUCGGCUGGACAAACAGCGGGCAAUCAGUUGUCGAAAAGAAUUGGUCAAGGAGCGCAAGGCUGAUCUCAUACCUCAUUGACGGGGGAAGAAGAAGACAUCUUGGCGCCCGGUUAGGGAUCUGAAAAUGGUCGAGCAGAGUGUAGAAGGAUGGAUGAGAUACGAGUGCCUCUGGGAGGAAUGUAGGGACCCCAUAUUUAUAGGAGAAAAGGUAAGGGGCAACGGUUGGCAAAGGCAUCUAUUCAAAGCAGAUGAAUGUUGAGCUAAAAGCUGCGAAGAGGAAACGUUCAAGUCCGUAUUCACACAAUGAUGGCAAAAGGGGCAUUAAAUGUUUGUGCAGAGGUGUUCAAAAGAUAAUUCAAUGUUUUGAUACAUUCAUUCAAGAAGAAUAUUAAUGGCCGCGAUUGCCUACUGGCGGAUCUGAUCCGCUGAAUCUAGAACUCGUUGGACAUCUUCGGCUGAUCCAAGAAUUUCUAGCAUGUUGCGAUGAAGCCGGAUGGCCUCAUGCGCAAGGGUUUGCCUCUCCUGCUUCAGAUCAGCGAUGACGGUCGUGAGAUCAUGAAGAUUAUUCUUUUUGGCGGUUAUAGCCUUUGUCACCUACUCCAUCUCCUUGGCAAUCUCUGCCCUAUGCUAUUUGAGACGGUCUAUUGUGCCGACGAUGUCUGGGCGAGAAUUUUCGAGUACGCCGAUUCGGUGAUGUACCUCUUGAGCUCGGUGUUUGUAGGAAUCCUUCUCUUCACAUGGCUUUGCCAGCUUGGCAUGAACGGCCAUGUGCCGCAGGGCUCUGAACACCGGGAUUUGCAUUGACUCGAUGUAUGUAGGAGGUGCAAGAGCUUUUUCUACAUCCUUCAGGACUCGGCCUUUUAUUUCGCUGAAGAUUUGCCAAAUCGGCGAAGCGUCUUCCACCAAUCGGCCGAUGUCAUCUUGAAGAAGUGCUCGGAUUCUCUGGAGCUUUGCACGUACUUCUUCCGAAAUUGAACCUGGAGCCACUUGUCGAGAGGCUACCUCUUCAUCAUCAGAAACAGCGAUCGCAAAUGAAAAGAGGCUGUUAUUGGGCGUAUCUUGUUCCUAUAAAAGUAAGAGAGGAAGGAACGGAUUAGCCGACAGUAGUGGGAAAUCGGUCGGAUUGGAUGUCGAAGGCCCUUACCUGUUUAAAAUGAAUUUUCUUCUGUUUGUGUUUGGGGGAUUGCUACCCUUGUCUCAGGAAUCAGCAUGGUUGGCUCGUCAGAAGAAGAAGACUCGACGGUGAUCGACGUUGUGUUUGGACCGGCUUCCUGAAAGUAACAAAAGGAGAGUCUCUAUAAGUAUGAAGCAAUAGUUAGAUCUAAGGAUGAGUACCAGUUACUUUACCUCUGUGAGUCGUCCGGCCGAUGACUGUUGGAAAGGUAUGAUUGAUGUACCCAGAGUGGCCUACAUUAGAAAUCGGUCAUUUUUGACUAAGGAAUAAGAGACUUGAGUAAGAUGUAUGUUCUUUACCUCAGCUGCAAGGAUUGCUGGUGGUUCGGUCUCUGCUUGGGAUGCGACCGAUUGCUGUGAGGUUUGCUCCGAAAGAAUUUGCGCAGCCUAACAAAAAGUGGAAAUUAAUACUGAUAGUAUACUUGGAGAAAUGUGAAGCAUAUAAAGUUACCUGAACAUCUUUUACCAAUAAGGAUGCAGCUGCUGAUCCGGCUUCCGUAGCGGCUUGGGGGUCGACCUCCUGGGCGAUCGGCAGAGUUGGUGUGGCUGAAGACUCGGCUGGUGGCACCGCCGAUUGAUCGGCCGGUUCUAUACGGGCGCGCACCCGGCGGCUUGUCUUCUUUGAAGAGGAUAUCUUCAUCUUCUGCUUCAAUCGGCCUGUGAUGAUAUCUUCGAUUGACGGGGACUGAAAGCCGAUGAUUGGAAAUGAAGUAUAUGGGUGGCGAUUCUCUAUCGGCCUGCCACUACAGUUGUGCGUUGGAGAGAGUUGGCUUUCAGACGACAAGAAAUGAGGGAAAUCAGUGGUAAUACUGUAAGAGUACGGUGUCAAAUCGGCCAGAAGGAUUGGUACCUCUGCAUUCGGAUCAAUGUUAGCGGGGUCCAGAUCAUUACAAUAUGUUGUAGGAGAUGUGCAGAAGAGGUGUUGUUUCCACUCACCCCACCAUAGCUUGAAUUGUUGGACAGCGAAGGGGGCCACAACCCAGUUGGCCAAUUCGAUGGUACUGGAAUCCGGCGUCAAGCUGCACAGCUGAUUGUAUUCAAGACCUUUAGAGAGCUCCUCCCGACACUUAACGCGGCCGGCAAAAUAAAUCUUAAUCGGCAUUUGUCUGAGGCCGAAUUGCCGCGCUGCCACUGAUGGGUUGUAGAAUUCAUAGGUUGGGGAGUCUUUUCCUGAGAAGAAGUUUGCUGGUAGGAUCCCAGGCUUGAUCAAAGUAUCCAUAAGCUCAUUAUCGAAGUAAUUGAUGGUUGAAUUGAAGCAGUCGGGGUUUUCAAAGAGUGGCUCAAUUCUCUGAUAUGGGUACCAGCUUGUAGUUUCUUCAUUGAAGCCGAUAUAGAAGCAUCUGAAAUACUCAGUUGUAUUUGUGGGGGUAAACUUGCUGCCAGGAGAAGCUGACGCUACCUCGCCAAGGAAGUGCAACGCCGUCUUAAUGUUGGGUUAUCCUCUGAUUCAAUAUUGGGGAAUGUCUUGGUCUCAACUCGUUCCCUGGAGAUCUUGCUCAUGUAUAAGUUGAGCCAGAUGGUGAUAAACCACCAGGGGCCACCAGAGUUCCCAAUCGGCUCUCCGGAUGACAGCUUGACUGCGAUUUGGUGCAUCAUAUGAUGAGCCAAUCCUAGCAGGUGUUUUCCUAAGGGGAUAGUAGAACCUUUUGCUAGGGCCUCGACCAGAGCCUGUGUAUUGGAGGAGGGGCCAACUGCUUUGCCACAGAAGAAGUGCUUCUCUAACCACAUCAUCAGGAAAGCUGUGUAUUCUCUAUCGCCGAUAGGACCGGUCUUCAUAUUUUUAUCAAUAUAGCAUUUCCACCUGCCGAUUCCCUUUGUUUCCAGGCGAUGGGUUGGUUUGAUCAGGAAAUUGAAGGGCAAGUCGGGGGAAGAGAUGUCAAGACCGGUCAGCAUCAGGACGUCGGCCAAAGUAGGGGUCAUGGGCCCAUGUCCAAAAAGGAAAACAUUGAGAGCGUCAGACCAGAAAUAAGAAGCUGCCAUGACCAAAGGUUCAUUCUUCUCCAUUUGAGACAGAUAUAAGUUUAUGCAUUGGCCGAUUUUUAGUUCAUCCCAAAGAACCCUCUAAGAAUUGGACAUCCUUUGAAACCACUCUUUCCAGCCAAGGGUUUCGUUCGGCCAAGAUCUAAAUGCACCUGUCCACUGGCUUAAAUCCAUUGGUGACUGCUUGAAAGGGAUCAUGUGGGUUUCCAGGUUGAUCAAUUCAGUGGGAUCUAGAUUCCCCAUGGGGCUAAGACCGACGAGGCCGGGUGCGUCAGAAACAGGGAUGGUGAUUUGCUGCCUAAGUUCCUAAAAAGGAUACAAAAGGAGAACUAAGAACAGAUCUAAAAGAUGCGUGAAUGGUGAAAAGUAAAAGUAAAAACUUUGGGAUAUUUACCUCUGGAAUGAAAGCCAUAGUCGCCUAUGGAGCCGCUAUUGGAGUAAACAGAAUAGGAUGGACGGAAGAUGAAGGAGGAAUCACCGUAGGAAUGCAGUUGGAAGAUGAAAGGGUGCCGAAAUGCGAUGGAAGAUGAUUCGCCGGGGAAAAAAGAGUUUCCCAGCUUGUGGAGAAGAAGCGGCGGAGAAUGCAAAUAUUUAAAGAUGGUUCGAGAGAAGGGUAAAGGUGGGAUUUUACCGCGCUGUCUGCACAAAUUUCGGGAAGAGCGGUUGCCUGCGAGCGCCUAGCUCGAAAAUUGUGAUCAUCAGAGAGAAGACCGCAGAACAGAAAGGAGCUUUCGCCGUGCCCGCCUCGGAGGAUGAGUUAGAGUUGAAAAAAAUUUGAAGCAAAAAGUUUCACUCUGAAACUUGGGGGCAUGUGUUGACGCCGGAUUUUGACACGUACUUGAAAUCGGCGUCAAAGAAGGAGAAAGGGGGGCCGAUGCGGCGGACUAGAAGCUACAGUUGGGAAUCGGCCGAUUGAAGCUACAGUGUUUCAGCCGAUUGGUGGAAGAAAUCGGUGGAGGCUGGCCGAUUGAGAGCCAAAGCAGUUUGGCCGGUUUGGGCCUAAGGUGGACCAGGAUGAAGAUUUGCUGAAGAGACAGGCCCGUGGGAAAAUAAUAACCAACUCGAAUAUGAGUCGUGUUUGUAACUAUUUGUUGUCGUUUGAAAUUAGAGAUAGAUUCUAGUCGGUUAUGAAAUCAGUUGCAACAGGCAAUAAUAGCUGCCUCGAGAGGCUUGUAAAAAAAUAACACACAAUCAAUAAAACAAAUUUACUCUUUCCUCGUACUUUACUUUCAAGUCGGCGACUUCGCCAAAACCUUUUUCUUUCACGAGUUCGUACGGAUUGGCAGGGCUGCAUCUACAUGAUCUCCGACCGAUUCUGUAAGUUCCGCUUAUCGAGUAAUAUCUAAGCUUUAACUUCGGGCGCAUCGCUGUUGUUUCAUUUAGAUUUAUUCACUAGUUAUCGAUAUCAACUACAGUCAUAGGUUUUACCUGUUAUUUUAGUUUUUAUCACCAAUUAUCCAGCUUGAGGUACGAGCUAUCGGCUUCUAUUAUUUUUAUCCUUUAUCAUCACAUAGCUGAUUAGAUCUACUCCAAGUGUUGCUUUUGUAGUGUUGUUUAGGUUGCUCUAGAAGUUUUCCUUACGAUUGCUACGUGAGUAUCGGCUGUCUUAUAGCCGGUCAUCUCUAUAGUAAAUCGGCCGAUUCGCUAAUACGCUCUUCAAGACAGAUCGGAACUCUAGCCGAUCGAAACCCCUAAAAUUUAAUAUUCUUCUUUCCUUUGUCAAUCAACAGGUCAGAUUGACUGGCACGCCGCGCGAACCGCACCAGGGCAAUAACCUGAACAGGAGCUAAGCAGAUUCUCCCGGGUCGUGUGUCCGACGCUGAGGGUCAUCGGCCAAUUUUCAGGGCCAACAACAGCUUUUGGGCAAAAGCAUAUAGGACUUUUAGGGGGUGUUUGGCAUGGCUCUAGAGCUGAACUCCGGUAACUCCAGCCAAUUUUCCAGCCAAACACCCUAGCUCCAAAACUCCAUGGAGCUGCAGUGCAAAUGGGAUGGAGUUUUGGCGCACCUCUUUUGUAGCUCCAAAACCACCUAAUAUGAACCUCCUCGUGGAGUUGGUGGGUAAUUAACCAUCAAUGCCACUGAUUAAAAUAAAAAUGAUUCACUUCUAUUUUCUCUCGAGACCCCUCCCCGCGCCGCCCGAGGCCUCCUGAUGCCGCUCUCCUGCGCCGCCGCCUAGCGCCGCCGACAGCUGCUGUCGCCGUCCGUGCCCCGCGUCCUGCGGGCUACCGCCUCGCCAUCCCCAUGAGCCCCCUGCACCGCCGUCAGAGCCGCCAGCCGAGCCGCUGCGGCCGGGUUUCCGCCGUCUUGCCGCCUCUUUCCUCAACUGGAGUGAGCCAUCAGCAGCAGCAGAUUCCCCUCGGCGAGCCACGCCCGUUUCGCCGGUUCCGUUGUCACCCUGCUGCCGGAGUGCCGCCGCCACCGUGAAAACCGCCCGCCCCCCGAUCUCCACCACCACGCUGACCACCUCCGUCCAUGCCCUCCGCCGGUGAGCACACCCGUAGAUUCCCCUCGACCCCCUCUUCCUCUUGCGCCACCUGCCCAAAACACCACCUCGCCGGAGCGCCAGCAAGCUAGCUGGCCAGAGCCCCGGUGAGAGGAGGAAGAAGGAACCUGGCUCUUUUGUGAUUGGGUCCUUGAGGAAAGCUAAAAUCUUUUGCUCUGUUCCUUGCUCCCGGCGAGAGGAGGAAGAAUAGUGGGCUUCUGUGGUGGAGGGCGAGAUCGAACCAGGAGUCAGAAUGUCAAUCUACCCUCAAACUCCUCUUUUCUGGAGUUGGGAACACCCUCCCAACCAAACACCUUCAUCAGACAGCAGGUUGAAAAGAGGCACAUGAGGCUCAGCCGCUUAGGCCCACGGGCAAAAAAAAAAAACUCUUACUUUAUGGCGGAGUAGUUGCUGUUCCAGUGUGCAGGUAAAUUGUCGCAAAUGCCCUCUUGUGGUCGCGUUGCAGUAGCCGAUAAGGCGUCCAAACGUGAGGUGCACACACCUGAUCUGAUCCUCUCAGUGGAAACGGGCCAGGUCCAUGCAACCCAGGACAGGAAGGCUCUAUACCUGGGCCGAACGGUAGCCCAAGAGGCCGACAGUAAGUGAGCUCACGGGUGACGAACGGCCCAGAAGCCGCCCCAAUCCGGCCACCGCCACUGAGCCGGCUCGACUAAACCGGAUCGCCACGCAGCCCGACCGCGCAGGCGUACUUCCCGAACUACCCCCGGAGAUUAUCCAAUCGGACGGCCAAGCGCCACGCACUGCCAAAGAAUUCCCCGAAAUGACCCUACUCUUCCCUUUGCCUCCCUCGCGUGCCGCCGGUUCUGCUCGACCGGACCAGCGGUUCAGGCGCCGAAUAUUCGCCCGCGGAUAUUUCUUGCCCGGUGCGUCAACUCCGCCGCUAUAAAUACCCUCAUAGGGCGGCCGCUAGGGUUUUAGUGCUUCUCUCCCGGCGGCGCCUCCACAUAUCGUCUCUCAGAUCGGGAGGCGAAACCAAGGUGACUGACCUCAUCCCCUUUCUCCUCCCUCCGUCUCUGGUUGCUAUAGCUAUUUCAUCCAUGCGCUGUCCUUAUAGCUGAUUAGUAUUUUUACUAGUGGAGUUCGAGUCGUUUUGGUUCCAUUCAGUAGUGCUUGUGUUGAUUGGAUUGAAUCGGAGGACUCGAAGUGGUUUGUGCUGCUCGAAUCGUAAGUUUGUUGGGCUAAUCUCGAUGGAAUUUAUGUCAAUUCGUUGGUUUAGUGGUCCUUGGCAGUUCUCUCUGUGAUAGGCCCGUCCGAUCUGUAGAGAUGCGGUGGAAUCCUGGUUUACUCAAAACGGUUCUAGAUUCCUCUGUUCUUCCCUUAUUUUUUGUUUCGAUUACUUAGUUUGCACGUUAGGGGCCUAUGAAGUUUAUGUGCUCGGAUCCUUUAGUGAAACUGAUCUGUUUACUCAGAUGUGCUCGGAUCCUUCAGUGAAACUGAUCUGUUUACUCAGAUCUGCUGGUAGCUAACAGGUUCAGGGUAGUUAUGUUGAUGGUCUAGUUUUGGUAGUUUCAUUGUCGAUUUCUGUCCAUUUUUGUCAUGUUCUGUCCAUAAAAAUACUAUCUGUGCUUCUUCAUAUCUUGUAAUAUGAAUUCAUUUGACAAACUAUGCAUUUCUUUUAGAGUGUUUGUCUAAAUUAAUCUUCUGGUAUAUCCCUAUGCCAGUCUGUUAAUAUGUCUGUAUUAUAGUGUUUUGUUUGAGGUGGUAAUGUACAUGGUGCACCCUGCAGUUUUUCAUGUCUAAUAUUGAAUCUCCUUGUUUGCUGUAUGUAUUAAGGAUUAGUUUCACUUCAAAUAGCUUACUGCUGAUGCUUUCUUGUUUGUUUAAUAUGCUGUGUAAUCAUGUUGACCCUGAGGUUUGUAAGAAUUCCUCUUAUUUGAUUAUUGCAUGGAUUAGUGUCCUGAAGGAUAUGGCUCCUUUGUACAAUUAAGAUAAUUCACUUUUUUUUCUCAACUUUUAUAUGCUUACUAGCCCAUUAGGUUGUGUAAACAUUAGAGUGCUUUAGCCUGGUAAAGAUGAGUUAAGCAUUUUAAAUAAAUUUUUGGAUUUGGUUGAUAUCAUCCUUAACACCUGCAUUUAAACAAUUUGUCUCUUUUGAUCCUGACUAUUACAGUGGGUGUUACUUUCUUUAGUCAUUCUGUGGUAUCAAAGUUUCUGGUGUAGUUGUGUAAUUAUGGUUUUGGUUGGAUUCUUACUAGUAUUUUCUACCUUUAAACAGCAGGAAAUUAUAUACAUAUUUGUAGUGUGAUCUUCAUAAGAAGUCAAGAUGGUGAAGUUCACAGCGGAAGAGCUCCGUGCCAUCAUGGACAAAAAGAACAACAUUCGUAAUAUGUCCGUUAUUGCUCAUGUGGACCACGGUAUGUUAAGAACAGUGUUUAAUUAAAUGUUAUGCAUACCUGUUCCUCGACAUUUUUCAGGCUUUUCAAUUUUAGCAAUUGUUUUUUUUCAGUAUUAAAUCUCUGAAUUGUUCUUGCCAGUGAAUGCGAUUCAUGCUGCGUUAGCUAUCACAGACCUAUUUUACAUAUGUAGAAAUAUUCAUUUCAUGUUGGAAAUAGGCUUAUUGUUCUUUUGUAAUUAAUGUAUUGGUUUAUCUCUAGAUAUUGCAGUGUAUAGUAUCUGUUUACUAUGUGUUUUAUAUUGGGAUGUAUUGUUGUCUUUGUUAACUUGUGAGAGGUUGUCUAUCCCUAAUGUUGUACUAUUCUUGAUGCAUCUUCGGACUGACUUUUAAGUUCCACACUAUAGUCUUACAUCUCAUUAAUUCUUUGCAGGCAAGUCUACCCUUACAGAUUCCCUUGUGGCAGCUGCUGGGAUUAUUGCCCAGGAAGUUGCUGGUGAUGUCCGCAUGACUGAUACACGUGCAGAUGAAGCAGAGCGUGGUAUUACAAUCAAAUCCACCGGUAUUUCUCUGUACUAUGAGAUGACUGAUGAGUCACUGAAGAGUUACAAGGGUGAGAGAGAUGGUAACCAGUACUUGAUCAACCUUAUCGACUCACCUGGGCACGUUGAUUUUUCUUCGGAAGUCACAGCUGCCCUUCGUAUCACCGAUGGUGCUCUAGUGGUGGUUGACUGUAUUGAAGGUGUCUGUGUGCAAACUGAAACUGUGCUCCGCCAGGCUCUUGGUGAGAGGAUUAGGCCAGUGCUUACUGUGAACAAGAUGGACAGGUGUUUCCUUGAGCUUCAGGUUGAGGGUGAGGAAGCCUACCAGACUUUCUCCCGUGUCAUUGAGAAUGCCAAUGUCAUUAUGGCAACAUAUGAAGAUAAGCUCCUUGGUGAUGUCCAAGUCUACCCGGAGAAGGGAACUGUUGCUUUCUCUGCUGGUCUGCACGGCUGGGCCUUUACCCUCACCAACUUUGCCAAGAUGUAUGCUUCGAAGUUUGGAGUUGAUGAAACUAAGAUGAUGGAGAGGCUCUGGGGUGAGAACUUCUUUGACCCAGCCACAAAGAAGUGGACCACCAAGAACACAGGCUCUGCUACCUGCAAGAGAGGAUUUGUUCAGUUCUGCUAUGAGCCAAUCAAGCAAAUCAUCAACACCUGCAUGAAUGACCAGAAGGAUAAGUUGUGGCCCAUGCUUCAAAAGCUUAAUGUUACCAUGAAGUCUGAUGAGAAGGAAUUGGUUGGCAAGGCUUUGAUGAAGCGUGUUAUGCAAACUUGGCUUCCAGCUAGUACUGCACUGCUUGAGAUGAUGAUAUUCCACCUUCCUUCCCCAUCAAAGGCACAAAAGUAUCGUGUGGAGAACUUGUACGAGGGACCCCUUGAUGAUAUCUAUGCUACUGCUAUCAGGAACUGUGAUCCGGAGGGUCCUCUUAUGCUGUAUGUUUCUAAGAUGAUUCCAGCAUCUGACAAGGGCAGGUUCUUCGCCUUUGGUCGUGUCUUCUCUGGGAAGGUUGCUACUGGUAUGAAGGUUAGGAUCAUGGGUCCCAACUAUGUCCCUGGCCAGAAGAAGGAUCUGUACGUCAAGAGUGUCCAGCGUACUGUUAUCUGGAUGGGAAAGAAACAAGAGUCUGUUGAGGAUGUUCCUUGUGGUAACACUGUUGCUAUGGUUGGUCUGGAUCAGUUCAUCACGAAGAAUGCUACACUCACCAAUGAGAAGGAGGUUGAUGCAUGCCCAAUCAGAGCAAUGAAGUUCUCUGUCUCCCCUGUUGUGCGCGUUGCUGUUCAGUGCAAGGUUGCCUCUGACCUACCCAAGCUCGUUGAAGGUUUGAAGCGUCUGGCAAAGUCUGAUCCUAUGGUCCUCUGUACAAUUGAAGAAUCUGGUGAGCAUAUUAUUGCUGGAGCUGGUGAGCUUCACCUUGAGAUUUGCCUGAAGGAUCUGCAGGAAGACUUCAUGGGUGGUGCUGAAAUUAUUGUUUCUCCUCCUGUUGUCUCUUUCCGUGAAACUGUUCUUGAGAAAUCCUGCCGAACAGUCAUGAGCAAGUCCCCCAACAAGCACAACCGUCUUUACAUGGAAGCCCGUCCCUUGGAAGAGGGUCUCCCUGAGGCUAUUGAUGAGGGCCGCAUUGGUCCACGUGAUGAUCCCAAGGUUCGCUCCAAGAUCCUCUCUGAGGAGUUUGGUUGGGACAAGGAUCUUGCCAAGAAGAUUUGGUGCUUUGGACCUGAGACCACUGGCCCGAACAUGGUUGUUGAUAUGUGUAAGGGAGUGCAGUACCUCAAUGAAAUCAAGGAUUCUGUUGUGGCUGGCUUCCAGUGGGCCUCAAAGGAGGGUGCACUGGCUGAGGAGAACAUGCGUGGCAUCUGCUUUGAGGUCUGUGAUGUUGUUCUUCAUGCUGAUGCAAUUCACAGGGGUGGUGGCCAGGUCAUUCCAACUGCCAGGAGGGUUAUUUAUGCUUCUCAGCUCACUGCCAAGCCAAGGCUGCUCGAGCCAGUUUACCUUGUGGAGAUCCAGGCCCCAGAAAAUGCACUUGGUGGUAUCUAUGGUGUUCUGAACCAGAAGAGAGGGCACGUGUUUGAGGAGAUGCAGAGGCCUGGUAC